AUGGCAUUAAAAUCGGAACCAUCUGUGCGUAAAUGACGCAUCGCGCUCCGUGGCCUGGCUCUUUCUUUCAUAGAUGUUGGCAUAUAAAAUAAAUUUGGCUCACAAAACUGAAUAUUAUAAUAUCCGUAUGUCGGCUUAAAGUAGAUAACGCAUCUGAGCACUGAAACAAAUCAUCUGUUCAGCCGCAGCAGCAGCAGCAAGACGGACAGAGGACACGGAGACGUGUCCAGGUCGAGCUGUGCGAGAAAUAAGAGGAAGAGGAAGAAAGAAAAGGAGGGAGACGAAUUACAUAUCUUGUUAACUUCAUCAUGUGUGUUUAUUUACUAGAUAUUUAAUUUAAUUUGAUGCGGUUUCAGCUGUGUUGAUUCGGUCAGGUUGUGUGUCCAAACGCGUGCCAAACGCGCUCAUCAGAUCAGAUAUAGAUCAGAAUAUAUCGAUAUAGAUCUAAAUGUAUGUGCUGACUCAGAUUAAUAGUUGAUGAUGAUUAUUUAUUGCACUGUAAUGUGCCUGACACUGUGGAAACCUGCCGGUGAGGCAUCAGUGACGUAUGUCAAUACGCCGCCGGUCUACCAAAAUACUACGAGACCAGCUGCGUUCCGCCUUGCGCUGAAAGCUGACCAGGUUUGAAUCGGCGAGCUUUCAGCGCACGUUACACGCCGGUGGCGAGCACGAAAAUGUCACUGCGCCAGCUGAUUCUGUCAACACCUCCCCCUGCCACGCCACCACGCCCAGCUUGGCGGAUCUCGGCUCGCCUCCGUGCGAAUCAGUCCACGAAAAUACCAAACUCGCCUUACGCCGGGCUCCACCAGACGAAAAUACAACUGCGCGGGGCUCGCCGCCCUCCGCCGCCUCACCGGCGCGAACGAAAAUAGAGCCCCAUGUCUCCGAGAUUUGACAAAGAUGGCACAGCACCUGGUGAAUGGCCAGCAACAGGCCUGGCAUGUGUCUCUGCGACACAAUUGGCCAGCGCACUCAGCUGUUAACCAAAAAGUAGGUAGUUUGAGCCCACCCAGGGACUAGCUGUUCAUACGAUUGAAUCCUUGAAACUCACUCAGUACAGAAGGCUUGACCUCUACAGAACAGGUCCUGAGUCAUGAGAUGUGGAAGUGUGGAAGUAAAGAAAAUCUGGCAGCAUUCACAUCCAGUUUGUCCCUUGACCUCUGCAGACAACUAACUCCAUUCACGAACUACUGGGCACAGCCAGCAGGUGCAGGCAGGGUCAAGAGUCUUGCCCAAGGUCACUUCAGCACAUGAACAGCUCUGGAAUCGAAACUCCGAACUUCCGACGUGAGAGAACAUGGACAUGAUGAUGCAAAAAGUUAAUGACAGUGACAGACAAUAGCAAAGGAGGGAAAGGUGCUCAAUGAGUCAUUGCCCCCGGCAGUCUAAACCUAUAGCAGCAUAACUAAAGGCUGGCGUAGACCUGGACCAGCUCUAACUAUAAACUUCAUCCAAAAAGAAAGUGUUGAGCUGACUCUUAAAGAUAGAGAUGGUGCCUGCCCCCCUGCACCUCUACUAGUAGAUGAACCCCCGAUAUUUUUAUUCCAGAAGCUUCCCUAUACCAUCUCUCACAUUAUCGUGUCUUGUGCACUAGCCUGACAAAAAUUGUAGUUUUGUUUGCCUGGUAGCAAAACAAACAAACAAACAAACAAACAAACAAACAAACAAACAAACAAACAAACAAAAAAAAAAAAAAAAAAGGAAAAAGUAAAUCAGCAUCUGCACCUUUGGGGCUAAGCCCCUGAUCGCCUAGAAUCCUAGAUUCGCCCCUGCACUGCAGGCCUUUUUCUUGCAGUGAAGAAGAUCAGAUAGCAGUCUUUUUUUUUUUUAGAGUCUUCUGCUUGUCUGACUGUGUGUUCAGUGUCUUGCCACUGAGAUUUUUUUCCCUUGUUCUUAGAGAAGAGGAAAAUAAUUGAUGAUGACAUGAAAAACGGGAGCUGCGAAUGGAGAGCAGAGGGGUCGGAGGAGGGGUGUAGGAUUGAGGAGCUGAAUACCAAAGAAUUUAGCUUGAGUCAGAGCCACCUCCGCCCCCCCAUCAGGAGGAGAAGAAUUUUCUCUGCGGGACAUCAAUCCCAUUUUUUCCUGCCUCCUGCUGGGCACAGGUCAAUUAUAUCUUUAUUACAGUAAAAUGCAGAUCAUUUUCCUGCAAAAUGUAGGCGCAGAAAGACUGAUGAUCAGAGGCGGCUAAAGAAUCUUGGUUUUCUAGGAUCUGUGCUACUUAUACAGUAGCAUGUUGCGAACGGGGAGUUCAGGGUCAUAAACAAAGACAGGAGUUCUGUAAUCUAAUCGUGACCUGCUCUGAAACCAAGCCAUAACCUUAAAGCACAUUAGUGAGGAUUCGGUUUGACACUUUGAAGCAUCAGCACCUUUGCCAGGGUGGGGGAGAGGUGUUGUUUUUGGCACCCGACAACAUACAAUUGACGCCAGAGACUCAAAAGCCAAAGCUUUCUGGGUGGUAUUUUUUAUUCCUUUCACACAACAUUUAAAGAUCAAGGGUUAGGAAAAAAAUAUGGAAAUGACUGUUCACAAAAGGCCUUUACCAAAAAUGUCUGCUGAAAUGUGACCCCUCAAUUUGCCAACUUGAAGGAAUCUGGGACAUUCAGCAGUUUUUAAAGCUGGUAUUUAUUCUUCAGGCUGUCAGCAUGUCCGGCACUUUGACAGACCUGGAAAUCCUGAGAAAGUUCAGACAUUUUAGGGUAUUGUUAGAGCUUCAGUAAAACAACCAUCAGAAAGGUCAUGACUAUGUGCUCAUAAGCCUUUCCCAUCACUGAAUACAUUAAAAUGUCAAGCUUGUCUGUUAGUGGAUUUUAUAAGUCUUGAAGGAACAGGCCCUUAACAUUUUUCUGUUUACAAAACCAAGUAACAAGGCGUCAAAGAAAAAUAAUACUGUUGAUGAAAUAGCUUCAUUUGUCAGGUGGUGCUUAUGAAAAAGUCAAUUUCCUUAAAUUGCAACUUUGUGCAUUUUUUUUCCCCUGAUGGCCUCAUUGGACCAGUUGGUCAUAAAACUACAGGCCUCUUGAUUUUUACUGGCCCCUAUUACCCAUUUUCUGAGCCACUUUUUUUUCUCUCCCUGCACGCAUUUGGCAAGAGUCAGGAAAAUAAAGCAGGACAUACUGAUACUGAAAAAGCCGGCAUAUUGACAGAAAACACUCACAUUCAAACCUACAGGUAACAAAGAGUUGUCAUUAAAUUUGCUCUAACAUCACACUGAGGGCAGGUAACUCAAGAGUUCCAUCAACCAGCUUCUGUUAAGACUUUUUUGACACGUAUGCGAUGAACUGGAAUGCAAACCGAUGCCUAUUAGGAUAUCCAAAAGCAAUCAAGACCUUUAGCAACAUGACUGAUUAAUGUGAACAUUUUUUAUAUUGUGAAUUUUAAGUUUGAAAGCAGAGCAAGGGCUUAGGUGUUGGCCAAUCAGCUGAAGAAAUAUAUCAAAUAUACACAAUACAUUUGACUGUCAGAGGUCAGCAGUAGUGUAUAUUUUGGUCAAAGGACACUGUUUUAACAUUUAGAGAACCAGAUAUGCAAAGACUGCUUUUUCCACAGGGGGUGCAAAAACAUACCCAAAGAAAAAGUUCAGCAGCUGAGCCUUCAUGUACAUCUAAAUUUAGCUCAGGAGCAGCACACAGCGCUCCAGGGAAUCCAGAUUAGUAGAUUUGAAAGCAUGUCUGUGGUAAAAGAAUUUAAAACCACAUUUUCUAAGCCUGCGUAUUGAGGGGUCCUUUGGGUUUUUGGUGCACAAAUUUCGGUCAUACAUUCACACAUACAAUUGGUGGUUUUCUUUAGUCCACUCUCAUGAACAACUGUAAUGAAGAGCAAUCAAAGACAUUCACAAAAACUAUGAUAGGCAAGAGAUAGAUUCAACCCCAAGACAGCAUUAAUAGAGGCCCAUCUCUGACGACUAUCAGCCAUCGACCUUGUUCACCCCUGAGAUCAAUCAACCACUUCAGCAUCCAGAGUCAGAGCUUCUCAGCUCAAGUGCCUGAGCAUUCAGGCUUCACUUCCCUUCCUAUGAUGUCUCUGGACCAUUACUCAGUCCCCAGUGACCAGUGUCUAUGGUUUUGUAAGGAAAAUAAAAGAUCUUAUAAUGCACACACACACACACAAUUUUAGCUACAGCAGGGAAGAUGCUUUGCCGAAAUAUUGUUAUCAUAAUCAUCUCUGACUCUAAUUCAGUCUCUAAGUGAACUAAUAAAAUUGUUUUGUGACAUAUUCUUCUUGUAACUAUUUCAGCUGAAUGACUACAGCCGGUUGAAAUGAGGUCUUAGACUUUAAGACUUGAUUUGGCUUCUUUGUUAACAUAAAUUUCAACACUGAAAUCUCUGUUAGUGUUCAAUGGCUAGCCUUGUUAUCAUGGUGUCCAAAUGCUAACUAAGACAGUUUGGAAUGUUUGGCUUUGGUAUUUCAGCUAUUAGAAUAAAGCAAAGAAACUAUUGUUGUGGUAUGUGCUAAUUUAGCUCCACUUAUAAACCUAGUCAUAGUUCAAGAAAACUUGGUCUUUCGUUGAGGAAGACAAAGGCAACAAAUAAGAGGAGCUAGUGUGGACAGGCCUUUCCAGAUGAAUGCCUGCUGUGAAAAAAUGCUUACACUUUGUAUGUCAGUAAAUGUUUACCAACUGAUAAAACAAAGCCAUCAGGUUCAGACAGCUCACAAAAGUAAAGUUAGAAAUCAAAAUAAUGAGCUGAUUAAAUCACAGUAUGAGUCGAUGAAAUAGGAAAUCAAUUUAAUGCUUUUAAGGCACAACUGUAUUGCCAAAAAUUACCAGACAUUGUUUAAUUGGGUGUUUAUUUGUUAUUUGAUUACAAAUGUUCUUGUCUAAAAAAAAAAAAAAAAAUCACACCCACAGAUUUAAUGACAUCUCUGCACAGUCCAAGUACAUGCAGAGUGCCUAUUUGUAUAGACAUUAGCAGGAUUGGAGAGUGUGAGUCUCUUAUUGUACUCUGGGUGUGUUUUUCUUUAUACAUGAGCCCAUUACAUUAUUCUGAGUUGGUGACCCACAAUUCCACAUUUCCUUGGUAUUACCUCCUUGUCCUUGUUAUGCCAGAUGCCUCGUGAGCUACAGAUGUUUACUGAGCACGUGCGUCAGCCUCCCCACGGCGAUGGAGCCAGUACGAGGAUGGAUGGAAGAUGUGAAGAAAAAGCCUGCCUCCCCCAUCCUGCGCAAGGUUAAUCUCGUCCUCAGCCACAACUAGCACGUCACCCUAAUGAAGCCCCCACAGACGAACGCUUAAUAAGAGUUAAGAGUAAAUUAACCUUGAAGACUUUGCACGCAGCUCUCCUCUUUUAUACCCUUUAUGCAUCCAUUUCCCAUGAUCAAGGACGGCAGUCAUUUAGCUAGAGGAGGUCAGAACAAAAACAUUCCCUUGAUGGUCGCAAAUUUCUCUCUGACAUCUAUGUUUCAGUCAGAGUAGCGAGCAGAGGAUGAGCCUGUGUUUCCCUGUUGUCUGAGGCAGAUAAAGCGCUACACCCACCCACCCACUCUUUUUUCUUCUUCUUCUAGCUGCUGAUCAAUGCUCUUAAUGAUGGUAAUCAAUCAAGAAAACGAAAGAUUUACUCUCCAAUAUUAAUUUUGCUCAGCAUCGAUUGAGGAGCGAAGAGUAUUACUGCCAUUAAUGCCUUUUGAGGUGCGGUAUUGAGUUGCUUGCCUCUAAAAACAAGUCAUUCAUCUUUCAUCUUAGCAGUUUUAUUACACCUUUAAACAUAAUUAGAAAUAGAUAACAGUCACCCCAGGUGAUAUUUCGUAAACUGCUUGAUAGUCCUGCUAUUUUUUCAUUUUGAGAUAAUUACAUGAUAUUAGAGUCGGUUUUAAAAUCUCAAGUGUACAUUUUUCCACAAUACAAAAUGUUUUCAUCUGGAUAAAUUGGCUAAAGACGAAUAUCCAGUCAGAACAUAUUACUCCAAUAUGUUAGCUUGUCCUAUUUUUUUUUUUUUUAAACAAGGAUGCCAUUUACUUGGUGAAUUUGCAUUUCCUAAAAGUUGAUAAGGCACAAUUCACCCAUUCUUAAGAAGCAAGGUUUCAACACAGUAAACAUCUCUUUUUACUUCACCAAGCCAUAAUUCACAUGUACUAACACCAUGAUCUCAGUCUGCUGUGCUGAAUCAAGGUACAGUGAUGACGGCCAGUGCUAAUGAUACGCUAUUCAAUGAACCACCAGGGGCAGAAAACAUGCCAAAUCUACUGAGGGGUUUAUACCAGGAGCUGUUUCUUCCUGUACUAUGGUGUUGUGUCAUAGUACCAGCUGAUCAAAGGCUGAUGUUGAACUUUAAAGCUCUUAGCUGCUCCGACUGCACUCGGUCAAAUCUGCUCUUACCUUUCUUGCACUUUGAGCGCAGUGACACAACAUCCCCCCUUUCAGUCUGCAUUGCUGCCAUGAGGCUCAGAAACCUGCAAUUCAUGGAGAGGAAAGCUUUGAAUAUUAUCUGUCUUACAUUCAGACAAAAGAAAAAAAGAUCUACAUAGGCAGAGAGUAGAAAGUAGAGACCGUAUUUCAGACACCAGAAUGUACAAUAAAAAAUAUAUAUAUCUUAAAAUUUUAUUUUAUGCAAUGCUAGAUAUAACUUUAAGCCAAAAGUCAUUCAAACUCAAACAUUUCACAAUGGAUGGACGGACGGACGGACAGACAGACAGACACAGACAGACAGACAGACAGACAGACAGACAGACAGACAGACAGACAGACAGAUACGCCUUUCACAACACUUAAUGUAAACCAUAACUCAUAACUCAUAAUACAUCAUUGGCAAAUUUAUAAAGCCUCAUAAAUGCAUCUUUAUAUAAUGCAUUAUAUCUUUAUAAGUAAUAAAAACAAUUAUAUGGUGUAUAGCAAUGUUUAUAAUGGGUUUUAAGUACUGAGCAUAGUGUUAUGUUUUUGUAUCAUGGGAUUGGCGAAACAGCAAGAACACAAAUCUACCAGACCCGCCUCUGGUAGGUUGACUGAAAGUGAGGUUGAGUCGGUACUACCAACAUCGACAGCUGCCAAUAGGCUUCAAACCUCGGCUUCACAAACACAUGAGUAACGUCACCAAUUCUUCUCUGACAUGGCCAAGAAGUGAAGAGUUGCUUGGCUAUUUUUUAUCUAUUUAGGGAUUUAUAUGUAUCAAAUCCUUGCAAGGUGUUAUACCCUAGCCCUAGCACCAUGCAUGAACUUUGUCACUGGUGGAAAGGGUGGCUGUGAGCGGUGGAGCUGUCAGAGUUGGGUUCAGAGGAAGCAUUCCCUGGACUGUGAGUCUUGCCUAUUCUAAUUGUUAUUUUUGGUAUUCUUUAAGAAUAAUCACUUCUUCAUUGUUAAGCAAAUAGUCCCCUUUUCCCUCAACUUUUGAAGAUUUUGUGCUUAUCUUUUUGACUUUAGCAGCAAUUUUAACAUCAUUCUAGACCCUAACUUUUGACUUUCUAUUUAAACUUAUAACCCAGAGUGUGAUUUCUUUGAACCAGUUAAGAUCCUCAUGUUUAAACUCUUCAUUUAGAGGACAUGCCCUGGAAAAAACUCAUAAUGGUCCUUAUUAUGGUCAUUUUGUGUUAUCCUCAUGGAUUGAGUGCCUUCUGGCUCUGUUAUUUCCCUGCACAUUAUAAUACUUUUAAGCCAGGUUGCCGCUGUGUCGUCUUUAUCCCUGUCUUUCCUUUCUUUUUGUCAGUAGUAUACAUGCUCCUCAGCCACAGUGAGAAAAGUGGAGCAGGUUUUGUUGAUGACUUAAGGGAUGGAAAGCACACCGGGGCUCCUAAUGCACCUAGUAUUUAAAUAAUCCCCGGGUCUCCGCCAUCCUUUUGAUGCCUUUGUUCACUUUGAAAAGUUAUCACCAUACAGCCUGUACUGUUGGCUUGGGGAUGAAAAGAGAAAGAGAGAGAGAAAGAGAGAGAGAGAUGUUGAAUCACAACGCCAUACCGUUUUUUUUUUUUUUUUUUUUCCCUGCAUCCAGUUCCCGGAGUGUGAAAGAACAUCUGAAUACACAUUCGAAAUCUUAUCUCACUCCAGCUGUACCGCUGAAUUCUUCCUUUUUCAGGCACUCUAGAAAGCACUGCAGAAUAGGAACUGAGAAAUAAUCAGCCAUGCUUAUCUUUCUGCAAUACUGAGGGGAGCUAUAAUGAGACUCACUCAUCCAUAGUGGAGAGCUUAAUAAUUCAUUGUGGUAGCUUUGCAGGUGAACCCUAUCACAUUACAAUUUAAAAGCUCUAAAGCUAGUAUUGCUGAAGGGGAGAGCGGCUACAAUGAAUGCUCGGCUGAAAAACUCCCAUGCAUACAGGUAUAUGGGCACCACACAUACUUUCUCUAGAACACACACACACACACACACACACACACACACACACACACACACACACACACACACACACACACACACACACACACACACAGAGUCACUAAAUGAGUUCCAAUUUGGUCUAAAUAGACUUGUAUUGCAGUGUGCAGGCCUCUUCACAACACCACAAGCGACAAGCACAGGGUUCUUUCAAGUGGUAAACACAAACAGUGUUUAUUGUGAAGUGGCCCUCCUUUUCUUCCUAAUUUGAGAAGCGCUCAUCAUAUUAGCGAGCGUAAAUCACUCCUCCCCUGGGAACAAAAGUUAACAUUCUGUCGGCACACAUGCUGAGAGAGGAGAAGACAUAAAAUAAAACAUUUUACUUGUUUUGCUCUCAAGGGCAAAAGAAAAUUCCCCCCCCCCCCCUUUCCCUUGGGCACGGUGCCAAAGAUACUCUUGCACAUUUGGGGGAAACAUUAGUUUUUCCCUGCUCUGACACCCUUGUUUUCACGCAGACCUUUGCUCUGAUUAAGGAUCUAGAACAGUCUGCCGGCACUUUUUAUUCCCUCCUAAACUCAUUUUCUCGCAGGGAACCUUCAGACAGUCUACAAAGAUGGGGUCGGCUUUGUCAGUGACCUCUGGCACUGACUGUCUGUGGAGUACAUCCCAGAUGGGCUGGACUGUGGCCCACACUUCUCCCUGCUCCCUGCUCCCUCUCUUUCUAUCUUUUUGUGUCUCUCUCUAUCUGUUGCUCUCUCUGUCUUCUCUCCCUCCCUUCCUUCCCCCCUCCAUCUCUGUAGGACAGAGCCCGGGUCGCUUGGCACAAGGGCUGCAUACUGGAGUGACCUUGCAGGGCUCCCUAAUGGAGAACUUGGCAUUGUUCCAUAGUUUCUCAGCCAGCAAACAUGCACCCCCCUCAGCACUACCACCUCUUCUCUGUCUAUAGAUCUGGGCCAUAGUCACCUCUAACCCAUUGUCCCCCCACAUUCCCAUCCGAGAGCCAGGCCACAUCACAUCACUGACAUUAAUUGUCACCAGAAAAGGCAUCUGAUAAAAGCUCCCUGCUCAGUUUCUCUGCGGGGAAACUGUCAAGUCACACAGGAAUUAAGAACACUUGAGGAAGCUCUGCAAUAAGAGGACAGAGAGAGCACUGUAGUAACAUGUGUGCCUCUUUGAGUGUGUGUGUGCUCCACACAGCAGUGUGUUUGCUCAUGCAAUGAUGAGAAAUGUCAAAACAUGUUGGAAUCACGUUAGCCCAGUGUAACCCUCAGGAAAUAAGUGUGGUGGGAUUAACUGAUAAGUACAUAAUUCGCAUCUAAGAGUAUUAUCUUGGGAUGAAACAGUGCUUAAGUCUUCUCAGAUGAUUCUCUGCUACAACGCACUCCCUGCAACGAACCAACAAUAAUAUAAUGAUGUGUCUUUUGUGCAGAUGGAAUCUCAAAGCAAGUAUUUAAUGGGGCUGAUGGAUUACAAGAAAAUGGAGGCGAAUGAAAUGAAUAUUUAAUAACCUCAUUAUAAGAAAUAGAUCUCAUUGCAUAGUCAUACUAUAGCAUACAACAAUGCUGGAGCACAUAAAGGGCUGUAAUAAUUGAACUAAAUGAAAAAUCCAGCUGAGUUUAUCCAUGGAUGGUACAUGAAAGGCUGAUGUGGCUGUCAGUUAAUGAAGAGUUUUGUUUGAAGCCUCUGGUUUUGCAUUUUGGAGGUGACCAUCUCCCUCUCUUUUUUAAGUUAAACGUGACCAUGAUUGAAAAAUUGUUGGAUAUGCAUUGAUGUGUCUCUACUGUAGUCGAAAAAUAUCCAGUGUUAAUUUGACUUUCACAGAGUUUUUAUAGCUCCACACUCUCUUAAAGUAUUUUUAAAGUGUUCAACUAACACUUUAAAGUACUUCAAAAUUUCAAAGAGUUACCUUUUUACUUACUUACUAACACACCAUGGGGGUGUGGAGGUCAGUCUUUGCUUGCCUGGCGUCUUUUAGUAAGGAGGUGAUGAUGGAAACUUUUCUGGUCACAGCUCUUUUUGAGAUUAAGAUUUUUUUUAAAAAGGAAAAUUUUAGGUUUUCACUGAUUUCAAUUAGUCAGCAACCAUGAUUGAUACAUGUGGCCAAAAAGAUUAUGUGAAAAGUAAAAAUAACAACCUUGAAUAUCAAAUUACCUUUGGAAAGACUCCAUGCUCUCAGCUUCAAUUAGCAGAUCAACAUGACACCUUUACUGUAAAGUCCUGGCAGCAUUUAAGUGCUCUGAAAAGUACAGAUGUUUUUUUCGUUGUACGCUCAAAAAUGUAAGACUGUAACAAUGUAAGUGUGACUUUAUGUCACUUACCCUGUACAAGUGCAUGAGAGGAGAAUAUUUGUGUGUCUGUGUCUCGACACAAAGUGAAACAGGUGGGCGACCCGGGCAGAACGUAGAUAAGUUCUCUGCAGAUUUAAGCCGAAAACAUACAGGAUCCGUAUUGGGCGCAUUCCGUAUUUGCUCUGCAGAGCAGCCCUUGGUAUCGCGUACAGGAUGCGUAUAGGAGAAAACAUCAUGCUCACAACGGGUUGCUUUGCCUUUCUGUGGUCUAUUUCCUGCUAAUUUGGAUAUAAUUCAGUGACUGUUGAGCCUCUACUAUACAUGAAAAAGCAACAUGAUUUUACAGUUUCGUGUUUUGCAGGUUUACUUGUGUUUAAUUAAGUAAACUAUGUUCCUUUGUGCUGCGCUGUUACCUUCAGACAGAGUUAGCAGUUAAAAGUCCUAUUGGGGUCCACAUGGAUCAGGGAUUGACCAUCGGAUUGUUCUGUGUUACUGAUAAAUCCAUAAUCAGGAGGUAUUUCUUAUCUACAUGAACUGAUACACAGUCAGGAGUUAAAACAAAAGUUUUUUUUUAAUUUUUUUUAUCCAAGUUGAGGUCAAAACAGCAUUUUUCUAUUCUUACCAGGGCAGAAAAUAACAGCAGCACUGGUAGAGGGUCCUCUACCCUGUAACUCCUUGUUGUGAGUUCUAGUUUGUGAUUACUUUGAGUUUGCUCUCUUCAAUUUGACUGAUGUCCCUUUCACCAAGCUCUUUCUGCUGCUAGCUUCUGCAUUGUUUCAUUUCUCAUUUUCUUUGCUGUUUACAGGUCACCUGUUCUCCACAAAUCCCGUGUUUUGUGUUCCCUAAAUGCAUUGAGGUUUAAGUUUUCAAAUAUCCUCAAUGUUGUUUAGUAAUUCUAUUGGCCAUCUGUUUUUGCAGUAUGUCUACCAGGUAGAGGUGAAAAUGUUAACUUUUAACACCUUCCAUACACUCCUGUGAAUUGAUUUGAUAAGAUCUGUGAUCUGGUUGCUCGUGGUGUCACUCUAGUUAUUUAGAAUUAGCCUUGUUUGGGGUUUUUGACCAAUCAGAGUUCAAUAUUCAACACAGAAAUCAAGGGAGUAAUUGCAUUGAUUUUCCAUGCCACAUAGUCUUUUUCUUAUCAGCUUUUUCUAAGGCAAAGGGAUCAAAGGGAAGUCUUUUUUUGCCAUGAAUCUGACCUAUUUGAACUUCAACAGACCCACAACUACGUCUAUGCUUUCACAUCUGUUUCAGGUCCUCAUAAAAUAAUGUUGAACAUUUACUUGAGGAAUCAUUGGGUUCUGAUUUAGAACAACUUGUUCAUAUAUGUCAACAGCUUUGAGUCACUACCCAGUUAUUAUAGAGUCUGUGGUCAUCAUACCAAAAUAAAUUUGUUGACCAGACUUGUGAUAACCAAUCUUUGGGCUACAAGACUAAAAAUCAUCUGCAGUCACCGCAUAAUUUUUGAGUUAUUUUUAGGGCUUUUUUGCUUUUUUUUAAAAGUAGGACAGCUGAGAAGAGACAGGGAGUGCUGGGAGUAGAGCAAGAGCCGAUCAGUAUGGACAAUGCUCUUCCUUCUAUUGUGAGAAGUCAAGCUAAAAUACCAGUGAAGUGGGUGCUUGAACUUUAGGCUGGUGGUGUAGUGUGGCAGGUUCGUUGUGAGGACCCAGAAGCAGACACUGAGACUGAGAUCAACUUAAAGAGAAUUUUAAUGUCCAAACAGAAGAGGUAGAUAAUGCAACAGAGGAUGUCCGGUAGGCUGGUUGGCUGGCUUUCGUGUGGGCUGGAGACACUGCAGGAAAAACCAGAGGAGAUGGAAGUUAUUGUACAUGCACAGAAUCACGAGGAGCAAAGUUUUGAUGAUUAUACAAACGAGGUUGGCCAGGAGACGCGUCUUUACCGCUAGGAAGGGUAGACAAUACUCAGGCGCUGAGACUGAGGGCUGCAGGCUUCUUAAAGUGCCUUGAUUGGAGAUGUGGAGCAGGUGUGUAGUCUCGCUCAGCCUCAGCGCCGGGGGAGGGGAGGAAGCCCUGGAAAAGAGUAAAGCCAAACCAGGCAAACAGGGAAACAAAGGAAGUCCAGCCAAAAUAAAACAAGAUGAGGAGGCAUCUCACCACAGGUGGAGCGGCAGAAUAACACCACAUUUCCUCUCUCAACCAAAACUAAUAUAGAAACAAAUGGUAAAACCCCUUCAGGUUUAUUAAACAUUUUAUCUCAAAUCAAAAUACAAAGUUUAUAGAAAACUGAACACUUGCACAGAAAUCCGCGGACAAAGAACUAAAUGUCAUGAGAGAAUGUCUAUUGCUGUUAGCCAUGUGUUUUAAUUUUCCAGUUGGAUCCAUGCCUUUUUUGUUAUAAUGGAUGAGGUGGACCUUAAGACCUGUACCGCAACCAGUCACCAGGGGGAGCUCGAAAGGUUUUAACUUUACUCAGUUACUCUGUUAAUAGUUUGAUAGAGUCUACAGAGCUGACAUGUAGCAAAAAGUCAAGGCAGGAGUCAAUGUGCAACUAUUGGUACAUGAAGAUAUUCUAAGUCAGGAAAUGGUCGAGAAUGGCAGCAGCUUAAGAUGAAUCAUCCAGCUCGAGACCAAUCCUGACAAAGGUUGCUAAGGUUCAUGGACCAGAAGAAGAGAAUAGACCAGCUUGAGAAGGGAAAGAUGCUCCUGCUCAAUGAGGUGAACCAGCCAAGGCAUUAGCACCAAGGUCAAAGAGAUAAAGACAUCCUCAGGAUUAGAGUCCUGCAGGUGGAGCUGUACAGAAAAGGUAGCUGUUUCAAGGGCUUCAGCGCUGGAAGAAAAUCAGGAUGAAGAAGAUUUUGGGUGCUUGGUUCAACAUUGUAGAUGUAAAUUCAAGACUACAUAUCGUUGCUGUCCGGUGAAAAACACAUAUCUCCACUUUUGGCUAGACCCUCCAGGAAUCUGCAGAAAAUAAGUUUUGAUUCUGCGGAGAACAAUCCUGAUUCUACAGAGAAAAAUUUUUGAUUCUGCGGAAAUCCGCGGCUCGAAAGUUGAGAUUCCGCAGACAUUAAAAAGCCAACCUAAAAUUUCCAGUUCUGAAGCAAACAUAUUUUUUCAUGUCAUAAUAAAGAAAAAAAUAAUAAUUAUGAAAUGAAUUGCAAAACCAAAACACUAUGAAACGUUCAUAAAUAAUCAAUCAACAUCAAUAUUCUCUUUGUCCCCCUUGGUCAGAUUUAUUUGCAGCAACUUCAGGAAUAAUAUAGUGCAUAUUAUACUGUCACAAAAUGAAGCAACAGUCAGAUAAUAAAUGUAAACAAAUACAAGUGCAGAAUAUUUUUCCAAACUAUCAUGGGUGAUGGCUUAGAAACACAAAUGCCUGGAGCUGUGAUUCUCACACAAAAAAUAUACAGCUUUGCUGCUGGCGUCGGAGGAUUUUGUUGGAGAAAGCACUCCAUUUCAAGUGUCGCUGGAGCUGCUUGCUGUCGCUCAUCAUACGCUGUGUUUUUUACUCCAUUAAAAAUAUGCCAUCCGCUCUACAGCCCGCCUAUCCAUCUGGGAUCCUCCUUACACACACGCACCACAUCGCACAAGCAACCAGGUGACACCAAACCUUUCUGCAUUCGGCUGUGAGUUCCAGUUCCCGUCUAUCUGACCACGUCAUCGAGCGGCCACUAUAAAAACUACAUGUAAAAUAUAAUAUUCUGCACCGCGCCUUGUAUUCUGCAGACUACUUUCACUUUCACUGAGGACUUUGAAAUCUGCGAUAAUUUCUGCAAUCGCGGAUUCCUGGAGGGUCUAUUUAGCGAUCUAGACAUUUUUCAAUGCAUGCAUGGUCCAUAAUAUUCCCUGAGAACCUGUAGCUUUGGGUAUCCAUGGCCGAUGAAAAGACAUUUUAUGACAUCAUCUUUUUCACAAGUAUCUCCAUUGGGUGUCGGCAGUGUCAACAAAGCAUGUAUCUCCUGCCCUGGCCCUGCGUUGUCAGGUCAGCAAGCAGAAUUUCCACUGUGACAGACUUAUUACAGUCCAUAGUAAUGCUACACUAAUGUCCUCACAUCGACUGAUGCCGACCUCAAACAGUGUUGCUUAACUGUGCAUUCUUGAGCCGAAGUUCAUCCCUAGAGGAAAAGCUGUGGCUGUUUUCUCUCUCACACUUGUUGACUAUCGUAUCACUUUGUUGUGUUCUCGCUAUCUUUUAAUUUCUCCGCUAGCAUUUAAAUGAAAUCAGAGCCAGAAUUUUAUUGAAAACCAAUUAAUUUAGUAGCAUAAGAAUACAUAGUACAUUUUUCAGUUGGUUUUUCAGUAUACCUGCAUCUGUCGCGGACACUAGUGCAUGUUCAAUUGGGAGUUGCGACUCAAAAAGUUUGACAACCAGUGUGCCAUGUUGAAAUGUAGGAUAGCCCACUGUCAAUAGUUUUUCAACAUAGUGGGACAUAAACAGGACAGUUGAAGCUCGUAAAUAACCGAACAUCAUUAGAGCGCAUUAUUAAAAAAAAAACAUGUAUGUCCACUAUCACUCACAAGGCAAAGCACGUAAGUCUGUUUAAAAUAUCAGUUAUGUCACUGAUGACUGUGUAAAUAUAGAUUUGACGGCCUGUUUUUAUCCAAAACAAGCUCCUUUUUUGUUACAAGACUCAAAGAACAAGGCUUGUAACAACCGAAGUCAUGAGGGACUAACACGCUGAGUUAGGAUUCGAGGGUUGCAGGGCCACUCUAAUGACGCUAAAGAAACCUUACAUUUCUUACAUUUGUGAUCUGAACAAAAAUUUUCAUCUCUUAUUUGCAGAUAAGACCCUGGUACAACUACGAGGGCACUGCCUCUGGAUCUCAAAGUGCUCUCUGGCUUGCACAAGACUUCAAGGAUUGGGAUAUGGCCACGGGACAUAGCCAGCUGAGCCAUGAAAGUAGAAUCUUAAAAAAUCAAUUCUGAAACUCGCAGGUAGCUGCAGAGAGAUCAUUUCUCCUUCAAGCACUGCUGCAGCAUUUUUGGAGGGGCUGUAAGGGGGGGAAGAAACACAUUUCAGAAACUGCACAGAGGGACAGAGUAAGUCACAGUAAUCCAAAAUGAGAAAAUAAAAUAUUGAGGACUUUCUCCAGGUGUCCCUGGCAUGAAAAGGUUUCAGUUUAGGUACAUUUCUCCUGUCAGCAGGUGGUUUCCUUGGAUGUCCAGGCUAGUAAGAUAUGACAGCUUUGGUGUAUUGUCACUUUAGAGAUCACACAGCUGAAGUAAAUUGAAAAAAGGUAAAUGAGGCAAAUACUUGACAUCACAUAUUUGAUGUUACAGCCCAUUUCUUGAGGUUUGAAGAUGUCUUGAUAGAGCCGAGCCAAGGUGUUUCUCCUUUAGCAGAGAAAUUGACAGGUUUUACAGCUGAGGGGAAAAAAGAAAACGUGAUGAGAAAUGCAGCGUCCUUCCAGCCUCAAAGUGUGACAUUAGCCUUCCCCUUUUUUGCUGACAGCUAAAGAAAAAAAGAUAAUGUCCAAUGUCCCCACAGCAACCGUUCACAGCUGAGUGUGAGUCAGCAAGCAGCUCAAGUUGAAAUGGCAGGAGCUGCUCUCGGUUAUUUUCCGAACACUCAGAAUGCCUCACAUACCGAAGCCGAGACCUUUGGUAUGAACUCUGAAGUCUGCUCUGGGUGAUAGCAGGUUAAUGGAGACACUUGGGGUACAUGAGGCUGCACUCGUCAGGUUGUAAAAACGUAAGCUGUCCAUUUUUUUUAUAUCAGAGUUGUCAUUCAGAUAAACUGUAGCACUGCUAGCCCAGAGUGAUAUGAAACCAUGACAUAAGAAAACAUCCUUGUAAAAUAAAUAUAUAUGCUGGUGUGUCUGUGCAAAAUAUCCCAUCAGAGUUGAUACGGUGUGCAGUCUUCCUGAAGAUAAUUUGGAUAACUCACUGGCUCUCUCUGAUCCCUGAUUCAUUUGCACUUUUCAGGAGUUCCGUUUUGGUUGCUCCCUGUAUAUCAUAGAGGUCCAGUAUGUGUCGAACUUGGUUGGUCUUUACCACAGUUAAGUAAACUGGGUCACAACCUGCUCGCAUGAAGACUUCCAUUGACUCAGAGCUAAGCAGUGAUGAUUCACACACAUUAAAAUGGUGCCCUGCUGCCCUCUGACAUCUGACAGUCAAUUGGUGUUGGCUCAAAGUCAGAGUGUCCCUGGGUGAAACAGUACGACUGCUAGCAAGAUGACGAGACGCCCACACCAACCUAACUUUCUGUCAACAAGUCUAUUUAAAUCAAAUUCACUGUGAAAACUACGAACAAUACACUCUCAGUCCUUGCACUUUGUAUUGGUGAUAGUGUGGCUUUGGUAUGAUUGAAAUUCCUCCACUUGAAUGAUUUCCACUGAAAGCCCACAACUGCCUGUAUUCUAGAUAUUUUAGAAGUGACAAAAGGCUCAAUGACUACACAUAUAAUAUUUGAUGUUAAUUGUGCAGACUUAACACUGGAUUAUAAAAGUUUCCAUAGUGACCAGCUGCCUGAUGUGGCUGAUUUAACAAUUUCUUAACUUUGUGUGCAUAUUAAGUGACAUUAAUGACCCUGAAAGUAAUUACUUUGGAGACCUGUGCCUUUCAGCUCAAUUUCUAAAGACCUUUUCUUUACAGAUCUUUUAAAGACAGAACACGGAGAGGGGGAAAAAAUGAGUAAAGUCCAAUCAACUUUACUUUGUAAAACUUUGUCACAGUCCUGCUGAUCAGAACUGCAAGUUACAAUCAGUACCAUCACCUGAUAAUCAGCCACUUUAUCUAAACAUAGCAGAUGAGGUCUCACAGUCACUGUGAAGCCAGGGAGUGGCCUAAAUGUCCUUAUUUUUUUUAAAAGACGGAUGGUUUAAGUUAUUGAUUAGUCUCAUUUGUGAUCACUGCCUCUCACACUUGUUUAAAAUAUCCUAAACUUACUUUCAUAGUGGUCCCCAUUUUAUACAUCCUGUUCAGCACCAUAAGAUCCUAUAGCAAAUGCACUCUGACACCUUUGGUUGUCAGCCUUUACAAAAACGUUUUUUUUUUAAGUCUUGUUACUCCAAGCAAGCGGGAGACAAUAUUUCAUAGACAAGUUUGAAAGAGAUGACUGGAGGUCAACUCUUACGCACCCUGUAUAUGAAUGUAACUUGCUCUGCAGGCUCUUCAAUAACACAGUGUUGUUUUCAGAGCAGCUCAAACAUGGCCAUGUUAAUUCUGUGUCAUUUGAAUCUCCAUCAUAUGUCAUCAACAAAACAAUUUUUUAACCGUUAACAGCUGUGUAAAGCAGGCAAACCUCACAGACUGUGUAGUUUAUCUAUCUGAGCCUUGUACAUAUUCAAGCUUUACUUUUUUAGUUAGUAAGCACCACCAACAUCCAGCAAACAAAACACUUAGGAAACAUGUUUUACAACUUAAAGAAAAUAAAUCUUUAUUUCAUUACAUACAAUCUUAUAAUUUCGGUGCACGCUAAACCUUAGCAAAAUUUUAAACCAUGAGAAACCAUGGAUGUUGGCAUAAUCACUGGAUGUGUUACACUCAUAGACUGUAUAAAGAAUGGACAGCGUCUGCCUCCUCGCUGGGUGAAGCCACUCCAAGAACAGCACCCUCUGUUGAUGGGCUGCAGUAUAGGUCAUAAAUCCUGCCUCCGCCAGCAAAGCUUAUGGGGCUUUGGACAAACUUUGGAAAUUUAUUACACAGAAUAUAAAUUUCUCAGUUCAGGGAUUGCGUAGCUUACCCGGGAGGAUACACUGUUUGAGCCGAGCGUCAUCACAGCGACUCUCUGCGACUGCGCGGCCGAAUGCGCGCAUUGCUACUGCGCAGCGCUGGUUUCAGGAAAUGAAGAAAAAUCCCGGAAUUACCGAGAGCUUUUUGGCUUCAAAUCCAUAUACAGACGGUAGGCGUAACCAAGUUGUCCAUAGUAUAUACAGUCUAUGGUUACACUACACUUGUACUGUUGCCCAUCCAGCAUUUUCCUCAUGGACACUCCAACUUGGAUGCUCUCUCAAACUUUCCUCAACUGUUUCAAUGGCCGGCUUUUACACCUCCCUGCACUUUGCUGAUUCACUGUGUCUUGUAAAGUGUUUUUGUUGUUGUUGUUGUUGUUGUUGUUGUGUGUGUGUGUGUGUGUGUGUGUGUGUGUGUGUGUGUGUGUGUGUGUGUGUGUGUGUGUGUGUAAAGAAGAAAUGUAAGGAAAUCAAAGCUACCUUCUCCUCCCACAGACAAAGGCACAAAGAAAACAGUGGGACUGUAUCUUGUUUUUUAGGACAAUAACAGCUAUCAGUUUGUGGUAGCUACACCACUGAUGAUUCCUCUGUAAACAAGGUCCAAAUUGAGCUGGAUUUGCAUCUUAUUUGUUACAGAGAAGUUGGGCUGUUCUGUCCACAAAGACCAGAACUGUAAGUACCUCAUGAUGAAAGAAUCUGACCAUCAUUUAAUUAUCUCUAUAGCAGAUAUCUGUGUGCAAUUUCAGUCAAUACACCAUACUGGAUCACCUUGAUGCUGUGGUGCAAAAGCUUACCAUUUUACUGCCUGAAAUGCACCAGACAUGUUCAAGGUUCUGUUUGAAGUUUAGUUAUAUCAGUUUCAGGCCUGAGAGGGGUAGGAUUUGUACUCCAAAAAUCUUUAUAUUGAGUUUGUCUCCGCAAGCUUUGGUUCUUUAGAUUAUGAGUAAAUAAAUGUCUUUCUUUGUCUUGGUCAUCCUGCCGAAAUAAGCCAGAGAGAAGCCUGUGAGUAAAUGACUGUCUCCUGUCAAACUGACACCGUGGAUUCGAUGACCUCUCUGGAGGCUGUAUACAAGUCAAAAGAAAAAGGAACUCUUGGCUGGAAGUGUUUAAACUCUUACUGCUGGAUACACCUGGAUUACUGAAAACUUGGCACCCUUUCUCAGAGGUGUACAGUAUAUACUGCAAAUCUUUGUCAAAAGGUGAUGGACAAUGAUUGUCAAUGGGCUCCUAGAUAGAUUGCAAGCCAUGUCAUCAGUUAAAAACUGCAUGGAAAAUCCUCUAAAAGGCUGUGAAAAAAAAAAAAAUACCCACCAUUGACAGCUAAAGUCAGGUAAAGAGAUUAAGUUGCUGCCCAAAGUUUGAGGAAGCAACAUUUAUCACUUCUAUAGUCCCAGAUACAUUUUUAAAUAGCUAAAAUGAAUCAUAAAAAGUUUCAACCCUUUUGUCACAAAGGGAGAAAUGAACCAAACCAAUGAUUUUUAAACUGCUAUUCAGUACCAGGGUUUAUUUAUCAGUCCUUGGAUCGAAAGAAAUACCUGACCAAGUAGUUUGACCAACCAGCCUAUGCCAGCUUCAAUGAAAACAGCAGUUAUUCAUUUUUUCACACAGUAUCUAUGCUACAGAUUGGGCUUACAGGCCACAAUUAGGGAGUUCUGCUUCACUUUAAGUGCUGUAAUUAACUUGUUCAUUAGCCACAGGUGGUAUCUAUUUUUAUCAAACACCUGCGUUGAUACAUCCUCAGUGAUUAAGUCCUUGAUAUCCGUAGCAGCAGACAAAAGUAGGGACUAGCCAACAUGAUGGAACCAUUUACCCAAUUCAAUCAACUUUAAUUGUAAAGUACAAUUUAGGAAAUAGUUAUGGUGCUGCACAGAAAGAUAAUAAGCAGAAAUAAUAUUAAAGAAUAAAACAAAUAAAAGCCAGAAGAUCACAUACAAGGACAGUAAAAUCUGAUCAGUAGACCUCAAAGACCUUGAAGGAGUGUAGACAUUGACGAGGUCAAAGAUAUACUGUGGUGCUAUUUCAUUUUAAGGUUUAAAAACACAUAAGAUCUUAAAAAGAAUCCUAAAAUGAACAGUGAGGGGAAGUAAGGAUAGACAGGACUAACCCACAUUUUGAAAGAACGUAACAUAGAAUCACAACAUAACCUUAUCAUUGUCCACACCUCAUAUCUUUGUUAGGGGGCAGCACAAGUGGUUAAUGUUGAAUCUGAUUGGGGUACAGACAGUGGGGUGUUGGGGUGUAGACACUAAAAAGAGCAUGGGAGAGAUCGUAGCUGAUGAACAAGAUGCAAGAUAACUAACAUUAAAAGUGGCUCACUAUGACCUGCCAUACUGCUGAUUGUUUGUAGGAGACGGAGGUACAGCCUACACCCACAAAGCCAUAGUUCAAGCUGUGCUUUCAUUCAGGACAUAGGACUGCUUGCUUUUCAGUUUUAAUCAAAUCAGAGAACAAAAAUUUAACAACACUGACACCUCUUUAUUCUAAUUUCAUAACUUUUUUUCUAACCAUAGUAAAACCAAACACAACCAAUUGUUUUGACACAAACAUGACUUCAACAUGAAACGUUUCAUUCUUUAUUAGUUUAAGUGAAAUAACAUAGUUUAACCCUUAUUGCUUCUAUAGAAACAAAAACACUGCCUGUCACUUGACAGUAAAAUGAUACAUAUCUCUAACACACUUUUCCCAUGACUAAAGAAACAUAUUAAAACAAAAAGUAGCCGGACAUACUUUCCCCCCUUAGCAUGCUGUAUGUGGUUAACUAACUAUAACUUAUGAGAAGUGUGUGCAGGGUCACACACUUCUCACUCUCUCACACACACACACACACACACACACACACACACACACACACACACACACACACACACACACACACACACAACCAGGCCAUGUUUGACUUCUCCUUUGGGUCUUGGUUUUUUUUUUGUUUGUUUGUUUUUUUCUUAGCAGUGUUUGUCUGUAGCAGCUUAGCAGUGCUUAGCUACAUGGCACAUCAAGGCACAUCUGGGCUGGUGAGCAACCAAGGGUAGAUCUCAAUUAUUAUAAUUUUGUUUUAUUUAUCAUUUUGGGUCACACAGAACAGAAAAAAAAAAAAAAAAAAAACACUUUGACUAAAGGGCACUUUGGGCAUCAAGGGGCGAAAAGGCCAACUUGUUUUAAGAAUACUUUAGGCUUUGAUAUCCUCAUGAUGGUUAAAUAAGGAUUUCAGUGGGCCUUCAUUGUUUCUUUUUAAGAGGAGAUAGAUUUGUGUAUCAUCUGCAUAUAUGUGGUAAGAGACAUCGGGCUCUAUUUUCAUGUCCGCCGGUGAGGCGGAGGGUGGUGGACCCCACGCAGUGGUAUUUUUGUCUGGCGGAGCCUGGAGUACAGCCAGUUUGGUAGUUUCGUGGACUGAGGCACACGAGGUCCGCCAAGUUGGGUGUGGUUGCGUGGCAGAGGGAGGUUUUGACAGAAUCAGCUGCUGCAGUGACAUUUCCGUGCUCACCGGUGGCACAUAAAGUGCGCAGAAAGCUCGCAGAUUCAAACCUGGUCAGCUUUCAGCGCAGGCGGAGCGCAGCUCGUCUAGUGGUAUUUUGGUAGACCGGCGGCAUAUCAGCAUACGUCACAGAUGCUUCACCGGCAGGUUUCCACAGUGUCAGGCACAUUUCAGUGCAAUAAAUAAUGAACAACAACUAAUAAUCUGAGUCAGCACAUACAUUUAGAUCUAUACAGAUAUAUUCUGAUCUAUAUCUGAUCUGUUGAGUGCGUUUGGCACGCCUUUGGACACACAACCUGACCGAAUCAACACAGCUGAAACCGCAUUAAAUUAUAUUAAAUAUCUAGUAAAUAGACACACAUGAUGAAGUUAACAAGAUAUGUAAUUCAUCUCCCUCCUUUUCUUUCUUCCUCUUCCUCUUAUUUCUCGCGCAGCUCGACCUGGACAUGUCUCCGUGUCCUCUCCCCGUCAUGCUGCAGCUGCAGCUGCUGCUGCAGUGGCUGAACAGAUGAUUUGUUUCAGUGAUCAGAUGAGUUAUUUACUUUAAGCCUACAUACAAAUAUUAUAAUAUUCAGUUUUGUAAGCCAAAUUUAUUUUAUAUGCCAACAUCUAUGAAAGAAAGAGCCAGGCCACGGAGCGCAAUGCGUCAUUACGUACAGGUGGUUGCGAUUUUAAUGCCAUUAUUGGAAUUUAUGUUGUGAUCUCUGCGCACAACCCACCAUUGUCACGUGAGGUUUGAAUAUAUGCAACUUUAUGUGAGUGUCUUUAUUUGUGGAAAAGGGUGUUUGUCUUACUAGUGGCUCCAAUAUUACACACACUAAAUCCCUCUGUGCUUAUAUGAGAGAGUGUGAAGGAUGCCCUCUGCAGUGUUUACAGCAACACUUGUUGAGGAGCUGCCUUCUGUCACCAUCGUGUAGCAUUGCUGUCUUCAAACAUCUCUUGAUCUUUUUGACUACUUAACGUUGCCUGGUGAACGUUCCAGGUGAAUGUGAUAAAAUGCAAACAGUAUGGGCCCAACAAUCUUAAUACCCAAACAAUGGUCUGGGUGAGAGACAGAGAUGUGUAAUCAUCUGUUUCAACAGCAGCAGUUAGAUGUAAAAGCAUUACAAUGGCAGCAUCACCAGAGUCAGUGGUCAAUACGAGAUAAUUACAAGGUCAGCCUGAUCUUUAUUUAGUUAAAACAGAAGAAUCCAAAUGGGGUUUUUGCUGUUGUGCGUCAACAUGCCAAAUAAUCCAUUCCUGUAGGUUUAAAUAUUCUCUUUUCUCAAACACUGAGAGUAAGGACAUGUUGGCUUAGAUAUGGGGUUGGGAGUGGUUGAUUGACACUCACUGGUCUGUAGUCCACAAGAAUCAUUAGUGACUGAUUACCUCCCCCUCUUGCAGACAGCCAAUCAUCUCCAGCCAUUUUCCUGCAACAUAGUCAAUUCCACUCAGUCCUGCUCAAUGAAAACACAACACAGCAGGCAAGACUAUGGCAACAAAACUUAAUGAUUUAUAAGAGAGACCAAACCUGCAGAGGGCUGUGUUGACCACUCCUUGUAGAGAUGACUUUGCCCUGAGAGGGAUUUGUGGCUGAAAGUGAAACUUCAUAAGAUCAAUAAUGUCAGGGACUGUCAAUAAUGACUUGCAUAUGUUUAUUGAUAUGCUGACAACCCAAAGAAUGGCUUGUUUGUCCAAAGGCUUACGACAGAUCAAUAAGCUUGUUGAAGUUCAGUGACAUUACAUGUUCACUGGCCUUCACAGGACUUAAUGAUGUGUUGCUGCAGUCAUAUAUCUCAGUGUAUUUCCCCUCUGGUGUCAGCUGCUAAGAAUGCAAGAAUAGUUAGAUUUAGUCAAACACCUGUAAGUUUAGGACAGGUACAUUUACAUCAAGAAAACUGAAUCAAUCUGUUUAUUUGGUAUCAGUCUGACCAAGGAUUCAUAUAGUCUCUGACAGCAGCACAAAACCACCUCAUCAGGAAACAUUUAUUAAAUUGUGUAUACCUGAUGCCCCCUUUCUUUGAAGAAAAUGCUGAAAAUUUUCACAGUAAUUCAGACAAUUUUUUAGAGUGCCUCAUGCAAGUGUUUUCUAAAGAGUGAAGUCACCAAAAUGACCUCAAAAGCGUAUUUUUUGCUUCAUGCCAAAUUAAGACAAACAUGUUGGAAACAUUUUGGGGCCAUUUAAAAACGUUAAGAUUUUAUAUUAUUAAUUCAGCUUUGUUUCUGUUGGUUCUUCUCUCCGCCUCUUUGUUUGCAUGUUAGUUUUGGUAGUCCACAUUAGCUUUAUUGUAGGCUAGAAGUGACUCUACCAACCAAGUUGACCUAUUCCCUGAUUUAAAAUUGAGGGCUCUAUUUUCGUGUCCGCCGGUGAUGCGGAGGGUGGUGGACCCCACGCAGUGGUAUUUACGUCUGGCGGAGCCCAGCGUACAGCCAGUUUGGUAUUUUCGUGGACUGAGGCGCACCAAGGUCCGCCAAGCUGGGCGUGGUGGUGUGGCAGGGGGAGGUGUCGACAGAAUCAGCUGACGCAGUGACAUUUUCGUGCUCGCCGCCGGCAUGUAAAGUGGGCUGAAAGCUCGCUGAUUCAAACCUGGUCAGCUUUCAGCGCAGACGGAGCGCAGCUGGUCUAGUAGUAUUUUGGUAGACCGGCGGCAUAUCGGCAUACGUCACAGAUGCCUCACCGGCAGGUUUCCACAGUGUCAGGCACAUUUCAGUGCAAUAAAUCAUCAUCAACAACUAAUAAUCCGAGUCAGCACAUACAUUUAGAUCUAUAUCGAUAUAUUCUGAUCUAUAUCUGAUUUGAUAAGCGCAUUGGCACGCGUUUGGACACUCAACCCGACCGAACCAACACAGCUGAAACCACAUUAGAUUAAAUUAAAUAUCUAGUAAAUAGACACACAUGAUGAAGUUAACAAGAUAUGUAAUUCAUCUCCCUCCUCUGUCUCUUAUUUCUCGCACAGCUCGACCUGGACAUGUCUCCGUGUCCUCUCUUCGUCCUGCUGCAGCUGCUGAACAGAUGAUUUGUUUCAGUGAUCAGAUGAGUUAUUUACUUUAAACCUACAUACAAAUAUAAUAUUCAGUUUUGUGAGCCAAAUGUAUUUUAUAUACGAACAUCUAUGAAGGAAAGAGCCAGGCCACGGAGCACAAUGUGUCACAGAUGGUUCCGAUUUUCAUGCCAUUAUUGGAAUUUAUGUUGUGAUCUGUGCGCACAACCCACCUUUGUCACGUGAGGUUUGAAUAUGUGCAACUUUAUGUGAGUGUCUUUAUUUGUGGAAAAGGGUGUUUGUCUUACCAGUGGGUACAACCUUACACACACCAAAUCCCUCUGUGCUCAUAUGAGAGUGUGAAGGACGCCCUCUGCAGCGCUUACAGCGACACUUGUUGAGGGGCUGCCUUCUGUCGCCAUCGUGUAGCAUAACUGUCUUCAGCCAUCUCUUGAUCUCUUUGACUAAUUUACGAAAAUUGUAAUACGCCUAGUUGUUGGCAGAUUUAAAGGCGAGGAGAGGAGCUGAUGUUAUUGGUGAAAACAGGUCUGGGCUGUGUUAAAUCCACUCCACGCCCUCUCUCCUCCCUCCCCACGACUUACGCAGCUGGGAGGAGCUGAGUUAGGGAGGGGGGAUACUUACGCCAGGCUGCGCUGCUCACCACUACUUACACAUUAGCGUUAUUCGCAAUGUCAACAUCGCAACCAGAGGGAGGAAACAUAGAUAUUCUGUGUUAUUAAUUUUUAAAGUUUGUCCACAGCUCCAGAGGGAUUGCUGGAAGAGGCGGGGUUUAUGACCUAUACAGCAGCUUGUCACUAGAGGGUGCUGUUCUUCACCCAGUGAGGAGGCAGAUGGCAUCCAUUCUAUAUACAGUCUAUGGGCUCUAUUUUCGUGUACGCCGGUGAGGCGGCAGAGGGUGGCGGACCCCGCGCAGUUGUAUUUUCUUCUGGCGGAGCCCGGCGCACAGCCAGUUUGGGUAUUUUCGUGGACUGAGGUGCACGGAGGCGAGCCGAGAUCGGCCAAGCUGGGUGUGGUGGCGUGGUAGGGGGAGGUUUCGACAGAAUCAGUGGGCGCAGUGACAUUUUCGUGCUCAACAGUGGCAUGUAAAGUGCGCUGAAAGCCUCACCGGCAGGUUUCCACAGUGUCAGGCACAUUUCAGUGCAAUAAAUCAUCAUCAACAACUAAUAAUCCGAGUCAGCACAUACAUUUAGAUCUAUAUAUAUAUAUAUAUUUUCUGAUCUAUAUCAGAUCUGAUGAGCGCGUUUGGCACGCGUUUGGACACACAACCUGACAGAAUCAACACAGCUGAAACUGCGGCAGAUUUAAAGGCAAGGAGGGGAGCUUAUGUGAUUGGUGAAAACAGGUCUCGGCUGUGUUAAGACCACUCCACGCCCUCUCUCCUCCCUUGCUACGACUUACGCCGCUGGGAGGAGCUAAGUUAGGGAGGGGGGAUACUUACGCCGGGCUGCGCUGCUCACCAAAAUACCAAAUUGUGCUCGGGAACGCCUUGUUGGCGCGGUGGACCUGACUUACGCCGCGCCUGCACGGCACGUCUCCGGCGAGGCACGAAAAUAGAGCCCUAUGGGUUAAUCACAUUACCCUCAAGUUUUAUCUAUUCAUUUCCCUCUUGCGUCACAAUACUUCCCACCAAAGAUGCAUGAAGAUAUUCAAAGAAACAAAACAUGGAAGAAUAAGAACACAGAGAUUUGACAUCAGGUCAUGUCUGUUGCAUUGUUUAUUUCCAAUAUUUCUACAUCAGAUUUUUUUGCAGUUAAAUCUGUUGGAUAGUGAAACAGGAAAAAAAAUAGAUAAAGCUCAAAUGUAAUACCAUGUCAUGAUGAAUUUAUAAAACUUAAGCUCAGUAUUUUGAGCAUAAAUAAUUAAAAAAUAUAAUUUUUGCAUUAAUAAAAUGCAUAUUUUAUUUUCACAAAUCACAACCCAGAUGUCAAGAAACCAUCCUUUUUUAUAUAUACCUUUUUCAAGGCACUCCUGGGUGACUGUUUUAAGGCCUGGCUUUGUUACAAAACUCUCAUGAUGUUUAGGUUUGGAUAAGUUUGUGAAGCUGCAUCAUCCAACUAGUGAGUGAUAUUAAAAAAGCCUGUCUCUCAGUAGACUUCUGUGUGAAGUGCUCCCAUGUAUCCUUGCUUAUCACUUCUCUGCUUUCCCUCAUCUCCCCUUGAUCUCCUUUUCCUUGAACAGUGACGAGGGCGUAAGCAUGAUGCUUGUCACGGCGGGUCUAUUCAUACUGUUCAACUCUCUCUGAGCCUGGACUGACACUUAAUUUAUUGAGAAUCUGACUGGCCCUAAUUUAAAUGUACUUUUUUGAAAGAUUUUUAAGGAAGACCUUUUUGGACUGUUUUUACCGUCAUGUAAUACCUCAAGAGAGAUAGAAAAUGAAGCUAAGUUAAAAUGACAUGCAACAAAUCCUGAAAAUCAAAGGGAAUACAGAAAUACUUAGCCUCUUCACAUGGGCACCUGCUUAACCAUCACCACAAUGAGCUAAAAUCUUAAGAAGUUACAUGACUGUGCACAAUUGCUUGAGUGCUCAGACUUCCUCUUUAUAGUCAGAUGCAGUCAUUGAUUGUUUCACAGUGCAGGCUCUAGAGGUGUUUGAUGAACUCAUAACAUAAACACCUGCAGCCCACUGUUGAUCAGAAUUUUAACCAACUAAACAGCUUGCAUUGUUACUGUUCACUAGUAGCGAGUGUCAGAAACUAUCAAAGAAACUUCUGUGUAUUUCUUUACUGUGUGCAUCCUAAAUAGAUGUCUGUAAAAGGUUUGAGUUCAUCCCCCCCAGUGGUUGCAGCUUCAGAUAAUAUUGCUCUGCUUGCAUUGGUUGCAUAAUCUUCAAAACAAGAAAAGACUAUUCAGCUGAUUCUGAACAGUAUGACAUAUGAAAAUACAUACGGGUGAACCCAUGUGUUGGACAUUACUCGAAAAGGUUUAACUUCUUGAUCUGAUGAAAAUAUGGCUCAAUUUAAAACAACAGCAGCCCAGCAAAGAUGGAUGGCUGAAGUCUCAGCAAAUCUCACCCAUGCCUCAAUACUAUCAAUGUUAUCAUUGGCUGUACUCAACAACUGUAUCAGUAAGUGGUAUGGUGGCCACAAAACAUGGCAUGUUGGUGGAUGCAAUUGCAAUGUUUUUUUCAAGCAAAUUUAAAGCCCUUUUCCUUCAAGCAGAAGCAGACUGUCUUUUAUACUAUACAAAUCUCUCUCUCUCUCUCUCUCUCUCUCUCUCUCUCUCUCUCUCGCUCUCUCAAUGUAUAUGUGUAUAUAUAUAUAUAUAUAUAUAUAUAUAUAUAUAUAUAUAUAUAUAUACAGUUCAGGCCAAAAGUUUGGACACACCUUCUCAUUCAAUGCAUUUUCUUUGUUUUCAUUACUAUUUAAAUUGUAGAUUCUCAAAACUAUGAAUGAACACAUGUGGAAUCAUGUGCUUAAGAAAAAAGUGUGAAAUAACUGAAAACGUGUUUUAUAUUUUAGAUUUCUAAAAGUAGCCACCCUUUGCUUUUUUGAUAGCGCUGCAAACUUUUGCUGUUCUCUCAAUGAGCUUCAUGAGGUAGUCACCUGAAAUGGUUUUUACUUCACAGGAGUGCCUGAAGUAACCCUGACAAGGUACUUCUGUCAUCAAGAGCAAAGGGUGGCUAUUUUAAAGAAACUAGAAUAUAAAACAUGUUUUCGGUUAUUUCACACUUUUUUUAUAAGUACAAAAUUCUACAUGUGUUCAUUCAUAGUUUUGAUGCCUUCAGUGAUAAUGUAUAAUGUAAAUAGUCAUAUAAAAAAAUAAAGAAAAGACAUUGAAUGAGAAGGUGUGUCCAAACUUUUGGCCUGUACUGUAUAUAUAUAUAUAUAUAUAUAUAUAUAUAUAUAUAUAUGUGUGUGUGUGUGUGUGUGUGUUUAUUAUUUAUUUAUAAAUAAACUAAAAUAAAAAAACACCCUGGCUGAACAUCAAUCUCGCCCUGCUACCCAGGCAAAAUAGCCUUGGCUUCAUUUGUCUCUUCACAUUAAACAGAAAUCACCAGCUGGGUAAAAAGAUACCAUGGUCUUUUAGUAAGAAACAUUUUAUUUAACAUUAGUUUCCCUAACAGAGGCAAAUUACAGGCAUCAUAAGUGUUUAAAUGCAGUGAGCACUCAUUAAGCUGUUACAAGGGAGCUGCAUCUAUUCUUAAUGAUAAGCCAUCACAUAGGGUCUAUAUGAGAGUGUUCUGUUCAAAAAGACCCCUUUGUGUGUCAAUGUGCACGAGAGGAAAAAGGCCCUCUAUUAUAAUGUGAACACUAUUCAGUUCUCUCUGCUUUGCUCUCUUUAUGACCUUUCUUCUUUUUCUUAUUGCUCAAUUGAAAGGAGUAUUUUCUGUUUAAAUUUGAGUCUUGCAAGAGUGAUGACACUAUUUUUGCAGUGAUGUGACCAGAAUAAUGGACAGUGUUGAGAGCUUUUUACAUACCUAAUGAUGGCAAUCACUGCAGGUCGUUCAAGGUAACACCCCUACGGAAGAAACUGAAAUCAUCUCAAAAGAAAAAUGAAUGUUUCAUCAUGUUUUUAAAAAGUAUUCUGAAUUCACAUUUAUCUGCGACUGCCCAUUCCCAGAGUUGCACAUCUGCAUCUGUACAGGUACAUGAUAAUAUUGGUAAUACUGUAUAAUCUGGUAACAUACUGGAAUAAUUCCAACUAUUUAUUUCGACAUAAUUUGAUGUGUGGUAUCUGCCAUAAGAGUGGUUGAGGACAUCCUGACUUUUGUAGAUUGAAAGCUUCCCAUAUGGUUUCCACUCAAACUUGUUUGUCUAAAUUAUUGACAAGCAAACAGAUAAAAUAAUGACUUCCUCAUGGACUAACCAGGCUAUUGAAAAAUAAAACCUGUAAAUAGGUGUUAUGAGACCUACCUACUGUGAUUUUCUCUGAAAAAUCAAAGUGUUGCUGCAUAUUUAAAGGAUACAGACAGAUGUGUCUGUGGAUAAAUGAUGUCAAUUUGUGUACAAGUAUAUUUGUGUACUUUGCACAUCCAAUGUGCCUAAUAGUUUUCCUUGUUGUUCAGUGUGCCCUGGUGUCACUACAUUUGUAAGCAUGUGAGUCUUUGCCUCUUUUACAUGCUCCAUGUUUCAUAUAUGACAUUCAAGUAUGAUGUAAUCAACAGCUCUCCUGCUUGGUAACGGCAUUUGUAAUCUUUGAGACCAGACUAAAAGAGCCAUUCUACUGUAGUCAUAUGUUACCUGACCGGCACACUCCUAAAACCCUCUCAUUUACAUUUAGAGUGAAUGCCGCUCUGUCAGUGAGGCCCUUUUCCACUCGGACAAAGCCCCUCACAGCCUCUCUGCCUCCUACUUUGCAGUGCACAGGGAGUGAAACAAUAGUCUGUUGAGAUAGGGAGGCAUCAGACGCACUAAUUUGGUGUUAUGGCAAAGUCCUUACCAGAAUGAUAAGUAUUAUUUUGCAGGGCGGAUCGAAAAGACUGCGACACAGUGUGUCGAAACUGCCAAAAUUGAACUUCUUUUCUAUGAAUUUUAAAAUGGAGCUUGAAUGAGUCCAUAUACUUCUACUACUUGAGGAGCUUUUUAUAUCAAGGACCUCAAAAUGGGGCCACAUUAGUCCACAGGAGCGAAGAGUUUGAUCAUUUAGUUUAACCGUAAUGACUGCUGAGGGAGAACAUAAUAAUCACAAAACAAGACAAAGAGUUUUCACAGUGAGGCUGUCACAUGAGAGGCUGGUAUUCUCCAUCAGAAGUGUUCCUGAGGUGGCCUUAAAGCGCUGUUUAAACCUCUCCUUCAGACCUGUCCAACCGCUGAGCUAGACAGGCUCAGUAUGAUUGCAGUUACUUUCUGAAACUGACAUCCACACCCACUUCAGCUGCAAUUUGGAGAGGUGAGAAAGUUCGCCAUGUUUGAACUUAUCAACCUGCUUUUUUUUCAACUCGACCAAACUACUUCUAGUUUUAUCUUAAGGAAAACUCUCUCCGGGGGUCGACUUUUUAGUGAUGUGGGUAUGGUUUGCUUUUGACUUUUACAGGACUAAACUGUAAGAUGACCAGAAUAGAACAGGAAGAUCAAACGAAAGGCUCACAGUAAAUAGUUAAAAAGCGAAAAAAAAAUAUUCAGGGUGGUGAUGAAAACUGCAAGCUGGACACUCACACAUAAACAAGGGUUUGAAGACAAGACUGCAGAGAAAAUAAGAGAAUCAGACCAAAUACAAAAGGCUGGUGGGGCUACACAAUCACAUACAGUAGAUGGGAAAAUCACAAAGGUAGUUAGUUAAAUUACUGACACCAGAGGGAAGAGUGAAAAUAAAACAGGAAAAGAUGAUAAAAAUAACCACUUACAGCCUGUGACCAAUGAUCAGCAAAAUAAUUCACUUCUCUAGUAUAACUUGGAUGGCAGGAACUUUGUGUAACAUGCCAACAUCUUUUUGUCAAAGGACUGGUACAGAAAAUCAAAUGUUAAUCAAUCUUAGUAAAUUUGAUUUUCUGUCGAUGAAAGAUAAAACCGGUGUUAACUCCUAUUUUCUGCCAACGUCUGCCCCCAUCUUUGUUGACUUCUUUAUGUUUUUGUUUUUUGGACAGAAACUUAGAUUCACCCUCUACUGAUACAUGAUCAGUAUGAUCCUCUAUCUGUCUGGUUUUCAGGAUCACAAACCUUGUCCAUACAAAUUUAUUUGCACUUAACAACUACCAAUUUUACUCUGUCCUGUCCAUUGUAUUACCAGUGUGUCUGGCUUAGCCACCCAGAAAUGAACAAACUGCAUUUGGUUCCCGCUAGUUUGUCCUUUCUGAGCUCCUGUAGAAAAUAUGGCAGUGCAACAUGUCAGCCUUUGAAACAAAGACCUGCUGUUUCUAUAAUAUUAUGGACUUUAUCUGAGCAUAGGUUGUAUAUACUGUGGACAACUUGGCUCCACCCUCCACCAUUAUACGAAUUUGAAGCAGUAUUUCUGGGAUCUUCUCCACUUCCUGGAACCACCACUUGUGUAGUAGCUUUGUACGUGUUCGGCGGGAGAGUUGCUGUGAUGACGCUCUGCUCAGACAGCAUAUCCCCCAGGUGAGCAAUGCAAUUUUCGUACGCUCAUAGCCUGUAUCAAGCGUCAGUCAUAGAAAACAUGCACCCCCUAAUAACUUUUAAAAAUGGAGCUGCACAGAAAAAAAAGGACUUGAGGACAGUCUUACAGUCAUACAGUAACUGCAUGUCAACAUUGCAACCAGGGGGAAGCAUUUAUAUUCUGUGUUAUUAAUUUCUAAAGUUUGUCCACAGCUCCAUAGGGAUUGCUGAAGGAGGCGGGGUUUAUGACCCAUACUGCAGCCCGUCACCAGAGGGUGCUGUUCUUGCGGUGGCUUCACCCAGCGAGGAGGCAGACUGCAUCCAUUCUGUAUACCGUAUGUUUCUGAGUCAUAAGAAAUUAAUAAUAAUGAUAUUUCAUUCAAUAUAAAAUUUUUCAACAAACUUCUGUAUAAUGUAUUCCAUUUUUGCGGAAAAAUUGUGCUAAAUUAUUCACAAUAUACCUUUAAAUAAACAAAAAAAAUUACUUUGUUGCCCCAUUUCUUGACAUCACUCAUUUCAUCACAGUCAAAGCUUUAAUGGUUUGCAAAAUAUUGAAAGCUCUUCAUUAAACCAAAGAUUUUCCCUAAAGAACAGAUCAAAUCUUUAAAUAGAUGCUUCAAAAAAAAGAAAGAAAAAAAAAGUUAACCCUGAAAUAAGGGAGUCUCCGUGUUUCCAGUUCCAAGAAGAGAGGUAAGUAAAACUCUGAGUCACUGACCAUGGCAACUGACUCUAUGAAGCUAACCUGCUCCCUACCAGGUUUUCCAUAAAAAACCCUGAGUUCAGCCUGCCUCUUUCCUUCUGCAGAACGUAAGUUAAGACAUGACUUACCCAUUUGAGGGAAAUCUCAUCGACAUCAAGGCACAAAUAAUUUGUGCUGUCUUACAUGGGGAGAGGCGCCUCAGACCUUGUCUGGAUCUUUCAUUCCCAAGAGAGUUCUUGGUAGAGCGGUACUACAACAAAAGGAAUUCCACAGGAUUGCAGGAACACCGUGUAGCAAUCACUUGAUGUCAAUGACAACAUUUCUGAAUUAAGAUUUUUUUUUUCUAUAAUGUAUUCAAUAUUAUGUCCGAGACGUUCUGCUGCAACCUUUCAUUAAGAUCAGCAAGUAGCCAUUAUUUUGCAGGGCUCCCGAAUGUGCUAGGAUGCAUAGAUGGCACCCAAAUACCCAUCACCGCUCCAGCAGUAAAUGAGGGGGACCAUGUUAAUAAGAAGUCCUUCCAAAGUAUAAAUGUUAAGGUACUUCACUUCUCAUCUUAAAGUGACGGGACUAUAAACCAUAUGACAAUGCAACUUUAAUGUCAUUCUCUGCACAUUUAAGAUCAUUUGCAAUGCUGGACAUAUAAUAACAAAUGUGGAAGCAAAGUGGCCAGGCUCUGUCUAUGAUGCACGGAUCUACCUUGAGAAUAGACUGAGCAACAGAUUUUCACGUGGUAAGUAGUCCAAAGUGUGCAAAUAUUAGUCAUUGUCUUUCUCCUAACACAACUGGAUGUAUUAAUUGCAGAAGAGUUUGAUGGCCACCUGCUUGGGGACCGAGGAUAUCCAUGCCAGCCCUCUCUACUGACCCCUUACCCUGACCCAAUUGGGUCCACUGCAGGACUAGAGCCCGGGUUGAGAUGACCAUUGGCAUUCUCAAAUCUGGGUUACGGUGUCUGCGUAAAUGUGCGUUUCACCCCUGUGGAAUUGCACCUACAUGAAAAUAAAUAUAAUUCAAAACCACUUUUUCAGCAUGUAUGCUAUGAUUUGAGGUUAAAUCUUAAAUUAAUUGACCAUAGUGCAUUUUCACUCACGCAUUGACUCUUUCUGUAAUUUUCUCCCAUGCAGCUUCUCUCUCUUUCGUUGCGGUGUUGCUCUUUUUCAUAAAAAUAAAUUUAUACUCAUCGUAUGAUGUCAUUAAAAUUUUUAAUUCUAUCGGCGUGAAAUAUGCGGCUUGAUUCUUCUUCGUGGCCAUGGUUGCAAUGUUACAUCACAGUAUUGGUGCUCCAUUGAUGAUGGCUUUUUGUACUGGCUGUGCACGCGCUCAACCCAAGGUGAACCUACUCAGAAUUGAUUGACCUAAUUCAUAUCAACUGUUCUGGAAACGGAUACUCAAAGUUUCCCAUCUCAGGGUAAGUUAACCUCAAACCCACAAUUAGACUCAGAGUUUGCUGAACUAUCUACCUGGAAUACCCCCCAGUUCCUUUUCAAAGUGUCCAGUAUGGCCCCAUAUGUGGACAAGCUAACAUAGUUUAUGUCAACAAUGUUUUUCAGUGGUGGAGCUACUGCAUGGAUGAUUGUUGUGAGUCACAGCCAAAACAGAGCACAGUUUGAGGUGGUCAGACACUACAGUAUAGUAUACACCACAAUAAGAGAUGUUGUAUGUCUAUGCAGCCAUUUUUUCAUUCAAGUUUUAGUCCCCCUGAUGUUGUUCUUGCAGACUGACAAUGUUCAAACGGUGAUGGUGCCAGAUACUGAAUUUAUUUAUAUAUCACACACGUCUGUAGUCUGAAAGUAGAAAACUGUCAAAUGUUAAUAGACUUUACUUCUUAGUGAUGUUACAGUGUAGCUCUUUAGUUUUUUGUCAGUCAUUUUUUGCACAGAUUUUUUGUCAGUGAGGCCAGGAUCAGGAUCAAACACACCGAGAAGAGGAGUCAGAGUAUCCUGUGUGAUUCAUCCAAUAUGGAGGACAAAUGGACUCAAAUUGCCAACCCACAGUGCCUGCAAAGAUAGAAGCACUUAUAGUUUUAUAGUUCAAAUCCUUUAUUUUUUAGACACCUCUGAAACCACAUACUGAGACAGAAGAAGGUUCACUGAGGUAUGUAAGAGGAUUUUACCUAUUAGCAUAAAAAAAAUUGACCAGAAAAAGGGGGGUAAAAAAGGAGUCCAUUAAUAAUUUAGAGUGCAGAGGAGGAAAAAUAAACAAACAAACAAAUAAACAAACAAAAAAGGCAACAACAACAUCAGCAUCCAAAACUUAUUUGUUAGUACUUAAGCUGAGGUGAUCAUGAGGUGUGGAUCAUUGAGUAAUGUAACUUUUAUUACACGUUACUUUCUGAGGUUGCAGCGAGGCAGCAGAGGAGCAAGGGUGCUUCGUCUUUGCAGGAAGCACUAAUUAUCCCUCCAAGAGAUAAUAACUGUAUUUAUCGUCUGAGGUGUUCGUCUUCUGAAGGGUUAUUUAUCAAAUACCAUGUGGGAUUAGAAAAUCAAUUCCAAGUGUCACAAAUUAAUUUGCAGCCAUCAUCUCACUUGUUCCCAUGAGACGUCAGGCAGCAGAAGCACCUUACUAAUGCUGAGAAUAUAGCUGGAUUGAUUUAUUUUUCCACAUCCCGCAUGUCUGAUGAAGAUGGCUAAUGCCAGCAGAUGAAUGAGUGUUUACCUGCUGAAGUCUCUGUUGCUGUCAUGGUUUUUACUGAGUCACAAAUACAGACAUUUUGACUGGUAUCAUGCACAUUAUAGUUGAAGCAGCAGAGCUGAAUUAUAGCCAAAACAUUUAUGUUUGCAGCCAAGUACAGUGUGAAUGUUUUCCCUCAUAACGUCCUUCAUUAGUUUAAUCUGAUUGGAUAUUCUGGCAUUUCCCACUGAAUCACAGCCAAAUGGAUUCUGAUUCGCACCGCAGCUUUUCUGUCAUAUAACUCAAUCCCGUAGGGUUUAGUGGAUGUCUCACACUUACAGGAGAUGGCACACUAGCAGCUGCUGUCGACAUUAUUAAAAGUAAAAUCAGUUUUUCCUCAUGUGGUGGUGUAUAGAGAUAAUUGUUAUGUUUGAUGAGAAAUACAGAUAAGCUACAGAGUUUUAUGUUGUACAUUAUUUAUACAUGAAACGCAUUUAUGCAAAAGCUGCACUCAGAGUAGGAAUCUAACAUUUAAAAAAACAAACUGAACAUGUUCCCUAUGCUAUCCCACUGCAGCCCUGUCUACAAACUCUGUUGAUGUAGUACUAAUUUAAAUUCACAGGUGUACUGUGACGAGAAACAUGAUCAUUGCCUGCAGUAAGGUGACAGUAUUUACCAAAGUAAACCAUUUUUGUGCCACCACAGGUCCAAUCUAUCAUUGGAUUUAAGUACCAAAGACCACAGAUCAGAGACACAUUACAGACUUUCAUUAAUGUUAACAGUCAACCUCUGAUUUCUGAUGUUUGAAGUUGCAGCAGACUCUACCUUCAUCUAACCUAGCUGUGCUCCAAGUCAUGUUAAAAUGCUGCAGGAGUGGUGGAUUAUUGAUUUCUAAAAAUAGCUUUUCAGUGAUAAAAUAGAGGAUACAUCCUUAGUGGAAAUUUCAAGUCUUUCAACAUUUUUGGACUUGUCUCUUUGAUGUAUCACUUUAUAUUUCUGAGUGUGUUAGUAAUAUUUGCUGUUGUAAUUGGACAUCUUUUAGACCUGAUAUUAUCGUAUCAUUUCAGGUCUGGAGCUGUUGUCUCAACAUUUUCAUAAUUUUUAUAAAUACACUAAGCCAAUCACAGUCCUUUUUUGAAAGGUUCUGUACAGAACUUUUAACUAGAUUUAAAAAGUGUCUUGCUUCUCCUGAUAUAUCUAUGUCACCGACAACAGCAAAUGAGCCCAUCGGAGGGAAGAUAUUUCUUAAUAGUGUAACUCCUACUUUCAAAAUUCGUUGGUCGGGUCUGCCCACUGAUGAAACGAUUAGCGGCUACUUCUAGACAGGUAUCGUAAGCUGCACUUUUUUAAACUGCUGGCUUAUUGAUAUGAAGAUAUAACAUUACCAAGGAAAGCUGACAACUUUAGGUUUAUAUACUAAUCCAUGGCUGGGUUAUCUAAUCUUUUUGUUGUAGGUUUACUGUUACGACCGGGACAUAACUGAAGGCUGAAAAUACAAGUCACAAGAAUACAACAUCACUACGUUUCACCGGUGGUAUCUUCUAUUUCAUAGAAAUGCAAAUAAAUACAUUACCUCAUCACUACGCAUCCUACAGAUUGAAAAAAAAAAAAAAGAUCAAAGUACAGGUUAGUCUCAGGGCCUUAUUUUCGUGUCCGCAGGUGAGACGGCGGAGGGUGGCGGACCCCGGGCAGUAAUAUUUUCAUCUAGCGGAGCCCAGCGUACAGCCAGUUUGGUGUUUACGUAGACUGAGGCGCACCGACCGGGCGUGGUUGCGUGGCAGAGGGAGGAUUCGACAGAAUCAGCUGCCGCUGUGAUAUUUUCGUACUAGCCGGUGGCGUAUAAAGUGCGCUGAAAGCUCGCCGAUUCAAACCUUUUCAGCUUUCAGCGCAGCUCGUCUAGUGGUAUUUAGGUAGACUGGCGGCUUAUCAGUAUACGUCACCGAUGCCUCACCGGCAGGUUUCCACAGUAUCAGGCACAUUUCAGUGCAAUAAAAAAUCAACAACAACUAAUAUUCUGAGUCAGCACAUACAUUUAAAUCUAUAUAGACAUAUUCUGAUCGAUAUCUGAUCUGAUGAGCGCGUUUGGCAUGCGUUCGGACACACAACCUGACCGAAUCAAUACAGCUGAAACCGCAUUAAAUUAAAUUAAAUAUCUAGUAAAUAAACACACAUGAUGGAGCUAACCAGAUAUGUAAUUCGUCUCCCUACUUUUCUUUUUUCCUUUCCUCUUAUUUCAGCAGCUCCACCUAGACAUGUCUCCGUGUCCUCUCCCCAUCCUGCUGCAGCUGCUACUGCGACUGCUGAACAGAUGAUUUGUUUCAAUGAUCAGAUGAGUUAUUUACUUUACGCCUACAUACGAAUAUUAUAAUAUUCAGUUUUGUGAGCCAAAUUUAUUUUAUAUGCCAACAUCGAUGAAAGAGCCAGGCCACAGAGCGCGAUACGUCCUUUACGCAGAGAUAGUUCCGAUUUUAAUGCCAUUAGUGGAAUUUAUGUUGUGAUCUGUGCGCACAACCCACUUUUGUCACGUGAGGUUUGAAUAUAUGCAACUUAGUGUGAGUGUCUUUAUAUGUGGAAAAGGGAGUUUGUCUUAUUAGUGGCUCCAACAUUACACACACCAAAUCCAUCUGUGCUCAUAUGAGAGAGUGUGAAGGACGCCCUCUGCAGCGCCUACAGUGACAUUUGUUGAGAGUCUGCCUUCUGUCGCCACCGUGUGGCAUUGCUGUCUUCAGACAUCUCUUGAUCUCUUUGACUACUUCUCGAAAAUAGUAAUAUGCCUCGCCGGUGGCGGGUUUAACGGCGACGAGAGCAGCUGAUGUUAUUGGUCAAUACAGGUUUCGGCUGUGUUAAACCCACUCCACACCCUCUCUCCUCCCUCGCUACAACUCACGCCGCUGGGAGGAGCUGAGUUAGGGAGAGGGGAUACUUACGCCGGGCUGCGCUGCUCACCAAAAUGCCAAGUUGUGCUUGGGAACGCCUUGUCAGCGCAGCGUACCUGACUUAAGCCGCGCCUGCACCACGUCUCCAGCGAAGCACGAAAAUAGAGCCCUCAGUGUGUUUCAUUGGCUUCCAAAACAACGAAACAGCUAGAACAAAGACCUUGUAUAUGCCUUCACGACAGUACGCACAAAAACUCAUGGGAAAUGCAGUUAUUAUUCUGGCAAAACACUACCCCUUUUGUCCAUAGUGGCCACCAGCUGCUUUAAGAUGACAUGUACAUCAUAGUCCCAGUCAGUGACUGCAGCUGGAAGAAACCCACACGUGUCACAUACAAGACAAGAGUUUUCUGGCACAUUUUAAAGGACUGAAAAUGUUCAAAGUAAGAUCUCACUGACAUGUACGAGUCAAGCUUUUUUCAAAAUGUGCUAGAUUACGCAGUAGCAUUAACCCCAUCUGCAGAGGUUGAAAGCAUUGCUUCUGUUCUGGUCCUCUGGCCACUUCCUCAACAAAGGAGCCUAGCUGCAUACAUACUGUGGCUAAUACCAGUAAUAUUGACAUGCACUUGGUACAGCUCACUUUAAAACAACUACUAAUCCCUUCAGGGUUGUCCUUAAUACACACACUUUCAGAUUCGAGAAAGCUAAAGAGAUCAGUUAUAGAUAAGAUAAGAUAAGAAGUUUAUUAAAUCCAAAGGGGAAAUUUGAUGGUCUGGGAUCACAUGUCAGAAGUGGUGUGUUAUCCAUUAUUUACAGUCAAUUUGUGGAGUCUGAUUGCUGUAGGUACAAAAUAGGGCUGGGGCGAUUCAUCAUCGUAGUCAUUAUAAUCGACUACAUAAUUACAUAGACGUAAAGACAUGCAUCAAUGCGUAGCAUGAUAGUUACGUAGACAAUGGAUAUUUAAGGUACCAGUGGGAGAGUGGAUGGCAAAUGAGUUCCACCUAAAGGGGCCCAUUUAAAACUUACUUUGUCAUGAUUUUAAGCAGCUCCUCUAAGCCCAUGCCUGCAUUCUUCCUCGUUUCCUCCUUCCUAUUUCUGGGAUCUUGCUGCUUUUAAGGAGACAUACAGUGACCCCUCAAUAGGAUACCCCAUAACCGGUGCAGUUAGCGCAACAGUUAAUGCUGCAUUAUCCGCCCAGCAUCCUGUGUCUCACUCAUUCACCUUGCUUUUAUUUGUUUUUGCAGUAAUUUUAGAUUUAGAGAGUUAAAAAAAACAAGUCUCUCCAAGCUGUGAAACUUAUCAACAGUUGUGAUGAAGGCAGACAGCUUAGCACAUGCCGAACCAGAUUCUGAGGCUUGAAGAAGUGGGUGAGCGAUGGCUGGAUGCUGGACAGUGCUUUCAGGAUGGGAUUGUUGUUCCACGUCCGCGGUUCUGGUGGCUGGGAUUGGGCUGCGGCGCCGUUGACGCAGUGGCUGAAGCUGGAACUGCUGUGACACUGCGGGAACAGUGUUUCUCUUCUCAGUCACUUUUCUAGAGACAGAGGAGAAAGAGAGAACUGCCAGUGGAGGCUCUAUGUGGAUAUUUUCCAUGAACAAGGUGAAACGCUCUUGCUGUGAGGCACCAUCUGGAGCUGUGAUGUUAUUUUUAAAGGACUUCCGGGGGCCUGGACUUCAUGAAGCUGGGAGAAAUAGAAGUUUUACUUGCCAGAGGAGAGCUUGUGCGAAAGAGAAUGCUGCUUCAUUGCAAGGACUGGCUUCCUCGACCAACUUCCCAUUGCUGAUGUUGCUCUUCAGAAAAGCAGUCAAUCUGCCAUGGAUCCUCGUCAUGGGCAGGGAUCAACAUGAUGAAGACCAAGGUAGGAGAAGCAAAAACGCAGAUCUGAGUGUUCUCAUGUGUGGGAGCUUGCAGAGUGGAUGCAGCCUUGCGGAGUGGAUGCAGCCUUGCAGAGUGGUUGCAGCAGGCAGAGUAGGGUGCCAUUUUGACACUAGCCAAUAAGAUGUGAAGAGGGUGAUCACCUGGGCUGUCAGCUGACUGAGGGCUGGCUUAAGAUCAGCUGACUGUAGCCUUUAGCUUGACUCCGUGACCUGCCUGAACUACCGCUAUGCUUUAUGUAAGGUGAGCAUGCACUUAACAAGGGAGAAUGCUAAGUAACCACAACCUGUCAGGCUUGCGCUUCAAGCAUGUAAGAGGUUGAACCAUGUGUAAUGACGCUUGUUGGGAUGUCAGUGCCUGAUAAAUCUCUGUGUUGCUGUUAUCCAAAAAUGGACACUGUCCAGCAUAAUUCAGCUGGUAAACCGCGGUGCAUGGUAUACGUAUCUCCCAGCAUUUCGUUCAAUUGUUUGGCUAUGUAUUACUUACAGGUGACUUAAGGUAAGCUAAGGAGCGAUGUUCAAGUGCUUUGUGAGCAUUGAUAAAAAUGCACUGUUGCACAGCUCUUGUUAAUUUCUUUUUGAUUUCAAAAGAUUCUUGAAUAUAUCAGUGACUUGAAUAUAAAUAAGAAAAGCUCACUAUUUUCAUUUUGGUCAAAUUUAUUGUCAUUUUUAUUGGGUAGUAAAAAAUAAUCAUUAGAAUAAUUAAUAAAUUAGUCCAUAGAUUAGUUGACUAAUUGAAAAAACAAUCAUUAGAUGAAUCGAUCAAUUCAAGAAAUUGUAAUGUGCAGCCCUAGUACAAAAGAUCUACUGAAUCUUUCUGUCCUGCAGCGAAGAGAGAGGAGCUGCCCACCACCAUUGGCUUUUUGAUCCAUUAAGGUGUUAUACAGUGGGUAAUCCAUGUUCUUUAGCAUAGUCUCUAUCUUGAUCUUUCCACAUCACCCACUAUUGGCAAUUUUCUUUUUAUUGUUGUGUCCAGAAGUUGAUGUAUUCAAUAAAACAGUCAGUCUGUCUGUCAGUGUUCAUUCUGUCCUCAUCUGUUUCCAGCAGCACAGUCCAGUCUGUUGAUUCAAAACAGACCAGACUUGUAGCAACUUCUCAGUUUAAGUGCAUCAUUCUAAAUAAAUAAAUGAUUAAAUAAGCUUAAAGCUUCCUAUGAUUUUAUUUCAACUAAUUUGAGUAUUUUACAGGUGUAGAAUGUGUAAAAUCUCCUCACAGAUCUGUUCAGUUUGCAUACUUUGAAUGUGUGACCUUAAUCUCAGUACAGUAAACCAGUGUCUUAAGGACACAUAUUUGGUGAAUUUUUGGCACUGAACAAAAAUGGGGAUGUUUCUCAUGGUUUUCCAAUAAUCCAUUUAAAAAAAGCUGGACAUUGCUGAUUUUAACCACGUUUUCUGUAUUCCAUUUACACAAAUGUGUGAGUCACCACUUUAACAAAGUUAAAAAUGCCUCCAUUUCCCACAAAUUGAUAUUAUCUUGCCCUCAAACAUUAUUGAAUUUGUUUGUGUUUGCAUCUGUUUGUUGCCUGCGGAGCAAGCAUCAAAAUGUGAGCUAUGUGUUCGUCGAUUCUGAUUCAUAGAUAAAACAGAGCCUCAGUCUGAGCUGAAUGGGUAAUCUGUUUAUAUUACUGCUCCAGGCACUUUCUUUGAAUUAGUGCUUUACUCAAUAAACACUGCAAAGAGGGAAAAAGUGCCACUUUCUUUUUGACUGUGUUAGAGGGUUGAAAGGAUGGCAUCUGUCAAAUGAUCCCUUCAAAUCUAUUCUGUGAGGGAACAAAAACCCUUCAAAUCUACAGAAAAAAAAAAUCUUCAGCUCAUGGAGUCAAUAUAUCAGGAAACCAAAGGCAUGCACAAAACAUAGUGGACGACUGAGAAACAAACAACAAGCAGUUCUUACAGCAGUAUUUCAGCACCCUUUCUAGGAGAAUGGCUCUUUUGAGUGAGCAUUUGACAGAUGUCCUUUUUUCUCAGCCACUGGCAGCGCUGGAGCCUCGCAGGCUUCAUCUAUUUGAUACCACAGCCAUGCCAAGACUCUGGCACACAGCUUCACACUGCAUCUGAGAUAGCCUUUGUGAUGUCUGCAGUUUAUGUGACAUGAAUAAGAAAUAUCAUGCACAGCCUACAGAGGACAGCUGAAUAGGAUGUAAGGUUGUCUGCUUGGACAGGACUAACAACAGACCAGACAAGGUGUAUUUUUAAAUCGAAGUCCCGCCGCUGGCUUUUCCUGUCGAAGUGUGUGUGUGUGUGGGGGGGGUACUAUCCAACUCGCUACCCUUCUUUCUCCACACACACACAUGCACACACACACGCACACUCUUACACACACACACAGAGAGUGCAUGUGUGUGUCUGGGAAAGAGCUGUGCAGCUUUCAGAGCUCAGCAUGAGAGCAUUUGAUAUUCAUAGAAGGGAAGAGAAGGAGAAAGUGAAACAACAGCAGGGGCACUGCCUUACGCGUGAUAUUACAUUGUAAUUAUGAUUUGGAUGUAGGCACGCAGGAAGCUCUAAGGGUGCAGUACAAACGUGCAAAAAUGUAAGCAAACGCACACAACCAUAUAGGGACACACACUCCUGCUUGGAAGCACUUGAAACUUCAAACUGCUUGAGUCUGCAUCAUUUCAGGAGUAAUGUGGGAUCAGACACCGCCUGGUGCAUCCUGCACUUAUUUUGAAAGCAGGGAGAUGAGGUCGGUGAGCAGGCUGCAUAUAGCUAUCGACAGAGCCGUUCUGAUUGGUUUGUUUACCAUCAAUAUUUGCAGAUGCCACUCUGGGCGCCUUUGAGAAAAUGGAUUUUUCAGCAUGAAGCAGAAUGUUCAGAAAAAUCAUUGGUAUUAGCGCUGCCACAGAGUGAGGGGGAGACAUACGCAUAUAUUGGAGGGAGACAGAGGCUCUACACAGGGAGGCACAUGCGCACCUGCAAAUAUUACUGAUAUCCACAGUCAGGCGGACGGACAGAUGGACAAACAGGCAAGAAAGACACGGGGAGAAAAAAAGAGAUUAUGAACGGCCCAGUAAUAUCCUGAAAGAGUCUGCUGUCUCAGAAAUGACACUUUCUGAGUGCUUUGUGUUGCACACUGGAAAUGUUCCAGCAGAAUUUUAAAUUUGAUUUAUAAAGAUUUUAUUUUAUUUUUAUUUUUUUUUAAGAAAAACAAAGAGCAGAACUGUCAAGCAGCAGAAGAACAAACUAGAUAUGAAAAGAGAGAUUCUGGACAAUUGUCCAAUAACGAGCAAACACAUGCAUAUGUAGAAAUCUGAAAUGCACAGUGGUUUCGCUCACAUUCCUGUGCGGAUUUUUCCAUUGGAUUAGUAAAGGUUUGAGGAAAGAGAGAGAGAGAGGGGAGGAAAGAAAGAGCUGUCAGACUGCAAUGCUGGCACAUCUACUCUGCCCCUUUUAUCAAAGAUAAGUAGUAUUGAUUUACUUUGGGGCUGUAAAAAGUAUUCGUCUUAAGAGCUGACAUUUAAUAAUCUCCACCUAAUCCGUGUUUUGCUGGGAGCCUCUUGAGAUGCUGGUGAGUCCUCUAUUGUUCUCCUGUUCUCUCCUGGCCCUACUGUAUAUCUAAUGAGGGGGACUGACGGCGUUAAUCUCCCAAUGGCUCAUAGCUGUACAUCCAGAAGACGCAGGGGUGCAGUGUUUAUCAGAUAAAUGCUGAAGGGGAGCAGCAAUUUUUGGGUGCAUAAACUCUGAUUGACUGACUGCUGUUUGAGAAGAUUUCCUGAAGUUGUCCUGGGUCCUAUUUUGUUUUUAACUCUGUGUCUACAGGUGUGAGAGUUUGGGGUUUUUAGUAUUACACCUUCAUAAUGCUACAGCUCCUUAUAUCCCCUGCAAAGAGAUGAAAAAAAUCCCAGCAAUGCGGUUGAACAAGUAACUGCCUUAUUAAUAUUUAUACUCAAAGGCCUGGUGUGUAAAUCAAAGGAUGGAUUGGGAGACUUAUUUGCAGAGAUUAAACGCAAUGUCCUGAGGAGUGUUUUUUUUUUUUUUUUUUUUUUCCUGAGUGUUAACACUUGAAAAUAUAAGAAGUUGUUGGUAUUUCCCGAAAAAGAAAAAGUGUUUUUAUACUCAGGGGUGGUGCUUCGUUUCUGCUUCACUCAGAGUGCUUUGCUCCUGAUUUGAGUCACAUCAGGCAUUCUCCUCACUUUUUCCACAGGUGACCAAAGUAAUAAUCUGAGUUUUAAAUUUUUAUUUUUUAUUUUUUUUAUCAAGCCCGCAUGCUAAGAUAAAUUCAAGAUAAAUUCUCAAACUUACUUUAGAUUUGAGGUUUAACAUAAACUUACACACAUGAGCUUGGAUCUAGUCAUGUCCUGGUUUAAUGUAUUUACUUGUAUUAAAGGGAUAUUUCAGUAUUUUUUAAGUAAGGUUGUAUCAGUUAUGCGUCACUGGUAAGUCUGUUAGCCAUGAUGGGUGGAAGUCAGUUCUGCCUAUCUAAAUGUCAAACCUCUGGGGGAACCAGCCAUAGCUUGGUCAAUGGUUCACUACAGACGGAGUCAGGUCUGCCUCAUAAUUUAGCUUAUUUUUAGAGACCUUGACCAAAGUACACAGCUUAGUUUCCAUGCACGCUCCACUGGGAAAUUAUUCAGCCCUUUGCCAUCAGAUAGUCCAUUUGUUUUUACACUAUUAGUAAGUAAGUAAAAUUUAUUGAGUAUGGCACCCUUCAUAGAAAAGAUUCACAAAGUGCUUCACAGUAAGAAAUUUAAAAUACAAUCAUACACAUAAAAGUAAAAUCAAAGAACAAUAACAAACAAUGGCAUAAAUAGAGCAUUAGUUAGAACAGGGAGAGAUAAAGGCCUGUUUAAAUAAGUGAGUCUUUAAAAACUUUUUUAAAGUGACAAUAGAAACAGCUGAACAAAAUAUUAGCAACUAAAUUAUUCCACAAUGUUGGAGCCACCACUUCAAAAGCACGAUUACCUCUAGUUUUUAGAUGAGCUCGAGGGACAACAAGCAAGCCCUGGUCAGUGAACCUGAGUGACCUACAAGGAAUGUAGGGAUGGAGCAGGUCAGUGAUAUAUUCAGGGGCCUGACCAUGCAGAGCUUUGUAUACAAAAACCAGAACCUUGAAGUUAAUCCUAAAUAUCACCAGCAACCAAUGAAGGGAACAUAGAAUUGGGUUGAUGUGAGUUGUCCGGCUGGACUUGCUCAACAGUCUUGCAGCAGCAUUCUGGACUAAAUGCAGGUGAUGAAGGGAUGACUUAUAAAGACAGGUGAAAAGUGAAUUACAGUAGUUCAGGUGGGAUGAAACAAAAGCAUGAAUGACCAUUUUGAGUUCAGAAUGUGACACAACAGACCUAAUUUUAGCAAGGUUUUGUAAAUGGAAGAAGCAUGACCGGGACAACUGUUUUAUAUGGUCUGUUUUAUCAUGCAGUGUUCGAAUAUAACUCCAAGUUUUUUAAGUUUAGACUGGACUGCAGAGGAAAGGGAACCAAUACACUGACCAACCUUGUGAGCUAUGGUAUUUGACCCAGCAAUGAGGAUCUCGGUCUUGUCAGGGAUUAGCUCCUGAAAGUUAUGAGCCAUCCAGUCUUUGAUGGCGGUCAGACAAUCGAGCAAAAUAAUUGAUUAGUCUGUGUCAUCAGGCCUAAAAGACACAUACAGCUGGAUGUCAUCAGCGUAAAAGUGAUACGAAAUGCAUUUGAAUUUGCUGAUGAUAUGACUUGAAGGCAGCAAAUACACAGCAAAUAAUAAAGGCCCAACACAGAACCCUGAAGGACACCUGAGGAUAGGGCAGCUGUUUCAGACAUAUAUGGACCAAGUGACACAGAAAAGCUCCUGUCAGAAAGAUAGGAGGAGAAACAAUCCAGGGCAAUCCCAGAGAUGCUCACCUACUGCCUCAGCAGAUAACACACAUAUUCAUGCUCCUCUAUCUGCAGCAUGAUCAGCUAAUCUAUGAUGUAGGAGUCACUAAUACAACAUGAACUUUGAUACUUUUGUUUUUCUUUUAUAAUGUAAAAUAAAUGCCUAAGAUGACCCAGCAGAUACAUGCAGAGAUUGGUAUUUCAGCUCAGUCUUUUCUUUCAGCAGCAAACAUGGAGUGUUUUGAGAGUGUAGAUAUAUAGUGUGGACCAUGGAUGUGUCAUUAUGCAACAAAAAAAACAACAGGACCAAAACACUUACUUUAAAGAUGCUCUUCUAUUCCACUGGUGGUUUUCUGAUUUCUCUCUAGACUGUUAAAGAAAGUUUAUAACAAACUACAGAGUGCAGUGAACUAAGGUUAGUUAACAUUGGAGCCUGGAGCCUUGGAUGACUGGUAUAACUUGAUUGUCAAAAGUCCAAAAGUGCUGUUUUACCAAGUGUCAUGAUUGUAGCCAGUAGUUUGCUCAGUUUAUGAGCACUAGCUCACAGUUUACCUAUCUGAGUUAAUAUCUAUCUAUCUAUCAAUCUAUCUAUAUACAGUAUAUAUAUAUUUUAAACCUAGUUCAUAAAGGUAUUCUUGUGCAUCCACAGUAAAUAGCAUAUUAGCAGUGCUGUCAGACUCACACAUCACUAGGUUUGGUUGUACUUUUGUAUCUUUCAAAACCUGUGGACUGAACAGCUGAUCAGUCCGUUGCAGGCAGUGGAGCGUCCCUGUGUGUGUUGUGUCCUGUGUAAAAACAAAUGGGCUUUCUGGUGGCAAAGGGAUGGAAAAAAUCUCAACUAGGAGCUUGAGUUAGUGUCUAUAAAUUUGCUAAAUCCCAUGGUGGACUUGACCCUUUCAAUUGUUCGCCUGGCUAGCCAACUGGUUCUCCCAGCAAAAUCUUGUUAAAGGGACAGUACCAUAGACCAUGUAUAUAGUAUGGACAACAUGACUCCUCCUCCUAUCAUUGUGCGGAUUUGCAGCCAAAUUGCUCUUGGUAUUUUAGGGAUUUUCUCUAUUUCCUGAAACCAGCAUUUGUGUAGUAGCCUUCAGCGGGAGAGCCGCUGUGAUGAUGCUCUGCUCAAACAGGGUAUACCACUGGAUGAUCUACACAAUCUUUGUACGCCCACUGACUGAAUCCAAAUGUUAAUCAUAGAAAAACUGAACACCUUAUAAUCAUAAAAAAUGAGCUGACCUGAAAAAAAGAGGACUUCAGCACAAACCAGUCUCACAACAACUACAUGUCAUCAUUACAACCAGGAGGAGAAAAAAUUUUAUUCUGUGUAUUUAAUUUUUUAAGUUUGUCCACAGCUUCAUUCAUUUUGCAGUAAGAGGUGGGGUUUAUGACCUAUACUGCAAGCAGUCUCCAGGGGGUGCUGUUUUCUUCCGGAGGCUUCACCCAGCGAGAAGGCAGAUGACAUCCAUUCUUCAUACAGUCUAUGUCAGGACUGAUUGGCAUCCAUAGUGGCUAAUUCAACCCCACUUUAACCUAAGAUGUCCUUUUAAUGACACCAAAAGUCAAACAGGCUGACAUUAGUAAAUAAAACGUGACAAAAACACCCUCCUGAAUGGAAAGUCGAGGACUUCACAGUUUGCCAUGAAGGUUGAAAUGUUCUAAUGUGACAGUCAAUGUCAUCUCUUUAACAAUGUAGUUUGAGUGUGUAAAAGAUACUGAACUCAGUCCUGACCCUUGUGUGAAUCAAUAUUUUUUUUUAAAGAGUGGAUCAAAUACUCUGUGUAAAGCAUCACUUUGUAGUGAAAACCACCAGAGGAUUAUCACUUGACUUGUUUCCUCAGCUCUACAAAGCAUUAAGCAUCAUUUAACACAUUGAUUGGGUUUUAUGGAGCCCAACUUUACUGUUUUAGGUCACUCUCACAUCUUAAAUUAACAGGCUUAGCAGCAGGUUUAUUUUUAGUUAAAAAGCUUGAAAAAUCCACUGUACAACUAGAGCCCAGCAAGUUAUUGAAAAUGAAAUGGGCAACAAUCUAAGUAUAAUGAAGCAGUUAGCAGCCAAAGAGCCUGAUACUUCCCCCAGAAGGCAAUAAAGAUGAAACAGGACAAAAAGGAGAGACAGUUUUAGAUCUAAUCUCAUAAAGAAGUCACAAUCAUAAUUCCAACACCCAGCACACCUAUGUAGGGACAAUAGGGCAUACCAGAGAGAAGCAAAGACAAUUUAGUCAUUAGUGUCCAUGGUUGCCUCAAAUGGGUUCACCCUGAUGGAUUGAGGCCCUUGAAGGACUUCAUACAGGGUCUGUAUAGAUGGAGAACAACACUUUCUCACCCUCCAAAGUCCCAUUGUUUAUAGUUCAAUACAAUGCUCAUUUUGGCCCAAAAAAAAUGGUCCCUUACACCAACUCACUUAUAGCUAAGUCUAUGACCAUACCCAGCUGAAGGCUUCAUGCUGAAAUUGACUAGUUUUUGUUCAAUUUAGACACAAAACCCCCAAAUAAAAUCAGUUAUUUAUUUUAUUUGAUAAUCAGAAGAAAGCCCCCAGCUGUAUAAUGUCAUUUUCUUGGUCAGAAUCCUGGAAAAACUACUGUACUACCACUAUCAUUUUUCCACCUCAGAAACAUUGCUAAACUCCGCCCCACCCUCACCCUCCCUGACGCCGAAAAACUGGUCCACGCUUUUAUCUCCUCCAGGCUGGAUUACUGUUAUGCACUCCUCAUCAGGACCCCUAGCAUGAGCCUCCAAAAGCUCCAACAUGUACAAAACAGCGCAGCUAGGGUCCUGAUGAGGGUGCGUAAAUGUGAGCACAUCACUCCCAUCCUCCGUUCGCUGCACUGGCUCCCCAUCUCCUUCCGUACUGAAUACAAGGUCUCCCUGCUAACCCACCAAUGCAUCCACGGCAACGCCCCCCUCUACCUAAAGGAACUGCUCGAGCCCCAGCCCCCCACCAGAAGCCUCCGCUCCUCAAACAAAGACCGCCUCAAAGUCCACCCCACCAAACUGCGGACCAUGGGAGACAGAGUGUUUUACGCAGCCGCCUCACUACUGUGAAACUCUCUCCCAGACCACCUAAGGGCCCCUCAGUCUGUGGACUCCUUCAAAAGAGCCCUAAAGACCUUCCCUUUUAAUAAAGCCUUUUGUUAGCUUUCUUUAUGCUUUUUACUACCUGCCUUUUGCACUGCAAUUCAAUAUUCUUUAUUUAUUUAUUUUUUUUUCUUUUAUGCUUGCUAUGCUAAUCUGUGACUGACAUUCUAUUGCUUUUUAUUGUUGCUGCUCAUUUUUUACUGUGUACUGUAGCACUUUGAGAUUUCUUGUAAAUGUAAAGUGCAUUACAAAUUAAAUGUAUUAUUAUUAUUAUUAUUACUAUGGCACAAAAAAGCAGAUAAUAUUGCCAUUCAACAGCUAACACAGUAUAUUUGAUUGGGUAAACAUACUGUAUUAACCCUGGGUCAAGCCUGAUUGUAGGAUAAAGCUUGGAAAGGUCCUGAAGUACUGUUUUUGUUGAGUCUACCUCGUAGCUCACAAACAGUACCUAUCUGAAUUCCAGUUCAGAAAAGUGGUCUUGCAACCACGGCAAACAGCGUGUAAUCGCAGCUGUCAAAAUCAGCCAAUUUUUGGUUUGGCUGUGUCAUUGGGUGUAAUGAAAUCCAAAGGCUAGUUCUAAAGAGCAAACAAAUACACCAUAAUUAAGUGUUUGAAUUAAGUUUUCCCACAUUUAGCUAAAUUAUGUGGUAAAAUUGACUGCAUCUGUAGUGGUUGAUAGUCUAGCUCCCGUACUAGUACUUUGCCCAGUUUCUCAUCAAAGGGGCCAAGCUGACUGGGUUCCCCCUGAGUAACACGCUUACUAUCGACAAGUACCUCAUGCAACCCCACUUCAGAAAAACCAAACUGUGCCUCUAAGCUGUAGCAGAGACGUCUCCAAAAAAAUCAAAGACACUCAUUACCCAGUUUCACAUCAAAUAGAAUAUCAGGGUCAAUCAAGGCCAGAGAAUGUGCAAUCAGUUUGAAAUUGUAUAUAUAAAUAAGAAAAAAAAUCAUCAUUAUUAUUUCAUGAUGUUUUAUGAUUGAGGGGGAUCAAACUGUUUUUUAUUAUAAUAAAAACACCAAAAAAUACAAUCUGAAAUGAUAGGAAGUUUCAGUUCAUGCAGUUGUUCAGACCAGCGGUGUCGCCAGACAGAUUUCACUAGGGCACGUGCCCCAGUAUUGAUCUGCAGUGCCCCAGUAAAAAUUUCAUCUAUAAAAAAAAAAUCCCUUCAGAGUAUUAAGUCCACAUAGCAUCGACUACAGCGCACAUACUAUUUAGUAUGGUAAUUCAGUGCUACUGUAUUCACUCCACAUAAACAAUGUGCACAUGGCUAAUUAAUAUGGUAAUUUAUUCACGUGUAGCGACUUCGGUUGAUAAUACUUCCGUGUCAACUCGAAGUUGCGAGAGAGAGAGAGAGAGAGAGAGGCAGGCGAUGAGAAUCACUGCGUGAGGUAGGUAACAUUAGCCGACAACAACUUGUUAAAUAUAUUAUUUUGAUUUUGAUUUGACUCGAACUGUAACUCCUAGAUGGAUAUCAGAAAGUUAUUCGCCCGCAGCAGGGAUAAAGCAGCGAGGAAUGAGAGAGGUAAGUGAAGUCCUAGCUAGCUAGGCAACAUAAGUCUGUCUUAAAUUAAUGCUAAGUUAGCUAAAGUUAUUCCUUUUAUCAAGACAACCAUAUUAAUUUGCUGUACGAGCUGUGGGGGGAAUUUCCAGUGAGUUUCAUCAGCAUGAAACAUAAUGUUGGUUAUGGUCUGCUGGUUCUGCUCUGGACCUCUGCAUCAAUGAUGAUUUUGAGUAAGCUUGUGUUAGUUGACAGAUAUAGCCUAUGGAUGGUGCAGUGGUUCUCAAAUGGCCUAUCUUCAAGAAGAAAAACAUUUUAUAUAUAUAUAUUUUCAUGUCUGUCCAAACAAAGUGGAACAACAGAGUGCUGGAAGAGGUGAGGGAGAGAUGAAAGUUGACGAGCAAGAGCGGAGGUGAGCUGACUAUCAAUGAAUGAUGUCCCAAUCAUGUUUUUUUUUUUCUUUUUUUGCCCCUGAGUCAUUUGAUUUUGAAUAUCGAUGGCAGAAACACAAAACCUCCCAUAUAAGGAAAAAACAAAAAACACAUUUUUUGGAAAACAAAAAACCUGCCAGUUUCUUACAGAAUGCUUUUUGGUCAAGUGACUUUUUUGUCACAAGGAAGGGUGGGAUUUUUUAUGAUAAAUAAGCAAUGAAUAUGUUGUUUUUCUUGCACACUUUGCGCGCUCUCAUGAAUGUUUUGUGCCCCAGGUGUGCCCCAGUACAGUAUUACGUCUAGUGACGCACCUGGUUCAGACACAGGAAAAAAAAAAAAAAGGGAGGUAUGGGCUGAUUCAGCUGGUAAUGAAAUAGACCAAAAUAAAUCCCGGUACCUCUACAAGACCUAAGGGACCUAUACAAGAAAAUGAACCCACUAGAACAAAGACAGACAUAGGGCUCUAUUUUGGUGCCUCGCCGGAGACGUGCCGCAAGCGCAGAGUCAAUCAGAUCCGCCGCGCUGACAAGGCGUUCCCAAGCACAUUUUGGUAUUUUGGUGAGCCGCGCAGCCCGGCGUAAGUAUCCCCCCUCCCUAACUCAGCUCCUCCCGGCAGCAUAAAUCAUAGACGGGGAGGAGAGAGGGGUAUAGGGGGUUUAACACAGCCGAGACCUGUUUUCACCAAUCACAUUAGCUCCUCUCCUCGCCUUUAAAUCCGCCACAGGCGAGGCGUAUUACUAUUUUCAUGAAGUAGUCAAAGAGAUCAAGAGAUGUCUGAAGACAGUUAUGCCACACGAUGGCGACAGAGGGCAGCUGCUCAACAAGUGUCCUCCACACUCUCUCAUCUGAGCACAGAUGGAAUUGGUGUGCGUAAUGUUGGACCCACUGGUAAGACAAACACCCUUUUCCACAAAUAAAGACACUCACAUGUAGUUGCAUAUAUUCAAAUCUCACGUGACAAAGGUGGGUUGAGCGCACAGAUCACAACAUAAACUCCAAAAAGGCAUUAAAAUCGGAACCAUCUGUGCGUAAAUGACGCAUCGCGCUCCGUGGCCUGGCUCUUUCUUUCAUAGAUGUUGGCAUAUAAAAUAAAUUUGGCUCACAAAACUGAAUAUUAUAAUAUCCGUAUGUCGGCUUAAAGUAGAUAACGCAUCUGAGCACUGAAACAAAUCAUCUGUUCAGCCGCAGCAGCAGGAAGACGGACAGAGGACACGGAGACGUUACCAGGUCGAGCUGUGCGAGAAAUAAGAGGAAGAAAGAAAAGGAGGGAGACACAUUACAU